rnacentral:lncRNA from 1 species
UUUAAAGUCUUUCAACUUUAUGUUGUAAAAUAACAUUUUUAUUAUUCAAUUCAUGAGUUUUCCUUCUGUAACACAUCCUUCUCAUUAGCUGGAAGUGCAAAUUUUUUAGGCUUUUCCUUAUGGCCUCUUUUUCUUCUCUAAAUAAAAUGGCAUUUUGUUUCCCUCCUGUGAGGUACAACGUUUAUGUUCAAACUUUCUGUUAGUUAAGUUGGUUGUCUUUGAUAUAGGGAACUUCCAGUUGAACUGAUUUGUAAUUCGAGUAUAUGAGAUUACCAACUGUAUUGGGAAUUGAUGCCAAAUUAAUUAUGUCAUCAGGUUUUUCAAUCAGCGUUCAUCAUUUAUUUCUAUUAACAGUUAAUAGCACAGCUUGUCUUCUCAGCUUCAUUGAUUCCUCUAAAAAAUAAUCUUGUAAAGACAAUUUUUUUUUUUUUUUUUGGCGUGGUAAAUGCUAGAUAGUUUGUGGUCUGAAUGAUACUAAUAAUUGCCCAAAUUGCCAUGUAACAAGGAGUGUUGCAUAGUGAUGUCAUGCUCACAGGUACCACUCAUCAACAUGGCCAACGCUUUCGAUGCAGUCAUUAUUAUGGAAAUUCAAGAGUUCUCCUCCUAAGAGGUCUCUCUCUCGUUCUCUUAAUUUCCUUAUUCUGUUUUGGAAGUAAUGUAAUGGGAAAAUAGCAUUUAAUUUCCUUGUGUGUGACAUUUUCUUCUAUAAAUGCUAUAAAAUAUCUUUUUUUUUCAUCAUUGAUAUGUAUUACACAAUCAGAAGACUACUCGUAUUUAUAUGAAACAUCUACUUUAUGGCACAGUUCAGAUUUUUAUCCUUAUAAAUAUUGGAGGGAUAUCUUUAUGUUUCUUCUGUGAUAACGUUUCUGCGUGCUGCAACCUUUUUAUUAGAUUGAUAGAAUGUGAAUACAAGGAAAUUCUGUUUGAUAAUCUCGGCAAACCAGGAUUAAUAUGAAAUGGAGCGUCAUCAACAAAUACUUAGCAUAUUGCUGACUAUGAUUUGUUCUCCUCCCCUCAUUCUUUUUGUGAGUAGAAUUGGAUUGUGAAACUUGUUAUGUCAGCACAAGUGUUCUUACAAGUUGACGUAAAAUACACUGACUUGAAAUAAUGGCAUGGUAAUUGGUAUAGAUAAGCUAGCAUGAGUAUAUUUUGUCACCAAUUUCGCCAACCGCGUCUGGGUGUGGAAAUUAUAUUGCAUUUCUAAUGUCAUUUGAAAGAAAAACUUGCAAAAUUUGUAAUUUGUUAAAUCUGAACCGUGGUUCACAUCUACUCUUCCCGAACUUGAGUCAUAUGAUUCAAUUUUUUAGUGGGCAUGGCGAGAUAGAUUUCUACCAAGCCCAACCCAUUUAUCUACCCUUUUGUAAUUUUCUAUCAUGCAUAUAUUUAUAUUUUUGUAUAGUUAAUAUCUAAUUAUUUAUGUAUUUUUAUCGAAUAACUACUAAUUAUAUUUUUCUAAAAAAUCGGCAUGAAAAGUUCAACUUAAUAUUGAAUUAAAUUUUGAUAAGUAUAUGUCAAAUGUUUGGAAUUCUUUUUCUAGUCUUCAUGAUUGAUUAAUUGGAAAAUAAAUGUGUAUGUAUUAAAAUGGUAUUGGAUAAACAUGCCCCUAUCACCCAAGUUUUCCUUUGGAUAAUUUCCUAACUUGCAAGUUGAUAUCGAUGUUUAAAAAGAACCAAAAAAAAAAAAAAAAAAAUACAUUGAAAUCUUUAUAAAUUACUUCUUGACCUAAUAGUUGACACUUUCUCACCUUAUUCUUGAGGUUGAAGGUUUGAAUUUUCUUAUGUGGAUUUUAGGUGAACUACAGAAAAACAGCUUAUAUGAGACAUUUUCAAAAUAAGUAUGAAUGUGGUACUUAUUCAUCAGAUGGACAUAUUAAUGACGUGAUAAAUUCGUGUUAUGUAAAUUUUCCAGACUGUAUAUUUAUAUUAUAAUAUUAAAUAAAUAAAUAAGAAGAAAGAAAGGAAAAUGCAGCUUCCAAAUUUUUUCAUAGAUUGGCUAUAUGCACAAACAGCAAAUCAAAACAAAAAGAAAGGAUGUGACAUGACCUUACUUCCUGUUAUCCCAGUUAUGGAAUUCAAGUCAAUCUUUGAAGUAAUGCACUUUUAUUACUCUAUGACAGAGACAGGUCCAAGUCUUUCUUCCAAAUUCAUAAUCUUCAACAUUUCUCCAACCAAUCAAGCAAGGCUAGAGAUAGGUAACAUACAUUUUGAUGUACAUUUGGCUUUUGUAUCAUCUACUUCACUAGUGAUCCAUUAAAUGGAUCCACCAUUAACGUAAAUGCUAGUUUAACUAUUGACAGUGGAGCAAGUAUGUAUGUGGUCCCUACGCACAAGCAUACACGCCCAUUAAAGCAUUUACUCUCCUCAUCAUUGGAUAUGAAUUUUGUGAACUAUAUAUCUUUUUGGGGGUUUCAUUUAUCUUUCCGGUCUCUUAUGAUCAUUCACGGCUCCUGCUGCUGCUUCUUAUUGGCUCUUUGACAUCCUCUGUCUUGUUCUUGCUGUGUGUGUCAGCCACUAGCAACUGCUUCAAGCAAUGUGAGUUUGUUGCGUGAGCUUCCGUUUUGGUUAUUUUCAAUUAUUAUUUUUGUUGAUGGGUUUGUGAUUUUGUGCUGUAUUAUUACAGGAUUACACUGUUUAUAUGGAAGAGAGAAGAUAUGAUGAGCCUUAGCUGGUUCAGGAUUCGGACCAUCAGAUUCUUUCGGAUAUUCUUGGAAGGUUUAUAUUUCAAUCUCUUUAGCCGAAUUUACCUAUUAUAUUUUUAUCAUAUAAACGCUAUGCAAAAUGUUUAUGUUAAUGUAUGGCGAAAAUUGAAAAAUGGAAAAUAAAAAUAUUUGUGCUGCUUUCACUAUUUAUCUAUGUUAAUCUGUUUGAUAAAAUGAAGUGGAUGUCAUUAUUUCCAUGCAUCAGUAAUUACAAUCCAUAUUAUGCUCUUGCUAGUCUGUGCUCCAUUUGAACAUCGCAACGAACUUAUUUACUUACAUAUAUUUUGUGCUUUCUGGUUGGAAAUUGGAAGUUUUAACCAAUUUCUGAUCAGAAACAGCCCUUUUGAGUGCUAUGGCAGAAACCGCAGACGCGGCCUAACCUUCAUUUUUAAUUUGUAUCAAUUGGUAGUUUUUUAUAACUCUCUCUUUUCCCCUCUAUCAAUAAUGAAUGGUAUUCGCUAGAGAAACCGUAAGGGGACUAAUCAUUGUGAAAAGCACUAGGUGAUAACUAGCAGUUUCAAUUUGACAGCAAAGAAGCUGCUAAGGAAUCAAUUCUCUGUACAGCCACAAGCAUGGUUUUUCUGGAUUUGCCGCAGUCUUAACAGUCUCAAGCCAAGUUAACUGCAGGUGUUAUAAUGUUGGUGAAUGAAAUCUGUUUUAGCUGUCCAAAUUUGUUUUAUUAACCAAUAUUUUCUGUUGAUACGUUUUGUAUGAUGCAUUUGUGCAGAUCACCCUGCCGUGGUCUGUAUUGUACCAAAUAGGACACUCAGUUUGCACACAACCAAAAUGUUGUGAAUGAAAUUCCUUCAAAAGGCCAUUCAGGCGCUGGAAGUUAUUUUCAGAUUCAUGGAAAUAACUAUAAUACUGGUGGCAUUUAGUUUCCAAGUGAUCUUGGUAGUUCAAUAAGUUCUAGUUCUACACUUGUUUCCAAAGGUUUUGGUUACAUGAUGGUCUGCCCGUUGAAUUACAAACUUGUGAUGAUUUGUACAAGAGGAAAAAAUGUAUUGGUUGGAAUUUUUGUUUCAUAUGAUAUAACUCUGUGAAACAGCUUUACAUUUUGUGUUCAAGUUGAACAACAUACAAUUUGAACGAAGAUUAUUCAAUCAAAUUGAAGAUUUCUGUUUGAAUAUUUUGAAUGACAAAAUUAAAUUUACUUUCAUGCAGAUGCAGUAGCAUUUAAUCAAGUUCCUUGUGCUGUUGAAACAAAAAUAUAACAUCCUUGCUUGCAUUUCAACAUGAUAUGAUGCUACUCUUUUACUGUUAACCAACACACAUACAUCAUGUAGGCCUAAUGGCAAAUGUUGUAAUAUAUAACAUCAUGAUCCAUGGGCUUUGUAAUGAUGGGCAAAUGGACAAGGCAUCAUGAUCCCCCCCCCCCUCCUUUUUUGCUAUGGAUUGUAUUUCUUUUUUUUUCUACUUUUACUUGCGUUGACAAUUUGAGCUUGCUGUCUUGUGGUCUUAGAACCUGCUAAAGUAAGCGUGUAAGCGACAGUGAAGAAGGGGAAGGGUUUACUCGUCAUUUUCUUUUUGAAAGCAAUGCGUUUUAUGCGGUGAUAUUUUUUUUAUCUACGUUGUGAAAAAAUUUGACUGAUUUUGAAGAUCCUUAAAGAUCGUCCAUCUUGGUUCUGGCAUUGUUGCAGCCUUGAAGUUUGCAAAAUGAUUCCUGCUGGAUAAAUUGAACAGCUGCCUCUUUGAUGGAUUAUGUAAAUCUGGCAGACUUGAGUUUGCAUGUGAAUUGUUUCGUAGUUUGCCUCGUCGAGUCCUCGUGGCAGAUGCUGUAACAUAUAACAUCAUGAUCCAUGGGCAUUGUGACGACGGCCGAAUGGAUAAGGCACAUGAUUUAUUUCUUGAAAUGGAAGAAAAUGCUGUGGCACCCAAUGUGAUCACAUUUGGUACGUUUAUCCAUGGUUUUAGCCAAAUCAAUGAGCCAUCAAAAGUUAUUGACCUUCUUCACAAGAUGAGGGAGAAAAAAGUAAUGCCAGAUGCAUCUAUAGUUUCAAUCGUUGUGGACUUACUUGUAAAGAAUGAAAUUAGUCUGAACUCACUUCCGUCAUUUCCUGUCCAAGAGCGACAGGGGGAAGUUGAUGAGUGAAAUGUCAAGUUGUAGCAGCAUGUGCUUUCAGCCCAAAAUCCUGAUCCGCAGCAUCUCAUUCAUGUUACAAAAUGACAUGUUGGCUGGUGACAGCAUGUUCUCUCCGGUGCUGUUAAUGGAUUCUGAUUGUUCUUGUGAUCUGGAGAGUUUCAUUCAUAUUACAGAUCCUUAUCAGGACGAGCUAGCAUAUGUGAUCACCAACUGUACAUGGUUGUUGAUGCCAAAUUAAAUUAUGGUAUCAUGUUUUUCAACUUGUUAUUUAAUAUAGUGCUUCCAUUGAACGGCCACAAGAAACUGUAGAAUCACCGUGUCUUGUUUAGAAGCUAAUGAAUUAGUUGCACCUUGUCACUUUAUUGAGACUUGAUUGUCAUUUGUGCUUUGAAUUUACAGCAUAUUUUAUCCUUGCUGUACUCUUUGCAUAAUCACUUUUGAGGGCUGCUAGUAUGUAUAAUUGAAAAACCUUAUAUAAAUUGUAAGCAUUUUUAUUUAACUUGUUGUAAACGUCCAGUAUAUGUCUCUCCUGUGAAAUGAUUCAUUCUCCAUGCUGCUAGGGCCUAGGCUUAUGACUCUCUGAAAUGAUUUACCCUCACCUGCGCACAGACAUUUAUCACAUUCGAGAAAUCUUCAAACAAUGUGAAAAAAAUGCCUCAAACACGACAUAAACUUAGUUGUUUACAUGAAAAGUGGCAGAAACUUGGUGAAAUUACCGAUUAAACUUCCAAAUAACAUUUCAAAUGGUAUUGUGAAAAAUUUCACUCUUUUGGUAAUAAAAAAGAACCUUAUUUCUAGUUCUCUAUUAACAAUCUUACCACUAAGUUCUCUCUUAAGUAAACACAUAUAUAUGUUAAUUUAUUGUUAAUAUAAACAAAACUAAAUAUUUAUAACUUAAAAGAUAAGUGUUGAAUAGAGGCGUUCUCACAGGGAAAAAAAAAAAGUAUUUAAAAAUAGUGGUGAUAUCAUAAUUUUUUAUAUUGAUACGAGAAUAUCACACUAAAUUUUUAUACCAUGUAUUGGCAAGACAAAGUUUCUUGAAACUGACAAACUUUUCUCUAUGAAGAUUGAAGACAAUAUGAUAAGAUAAAAUUUAUCAAAAGCAUAUAUGCUUGCCAGGGCUGGACCUUUGAUUUUUAGUCCUCGCCUUUCGUUCUUGUUUCAUAUUCUUCUGCUAACAAAUCUUGAUCAGGAUGAGUCUCCUUUUUUCUUUAAAAAAAACCCACACGUAAAGUCUUGGCCAUAAGCCUCAAGACCUAUUGGCUGUUGCAGUGGUGAGUUCACUCUCAGGAAUCAAAUCUUUCAAAUUCAAGCGAAUUUGAAGAAGCUCGAAUUUGAAGAAAUUUCAAAUGCCUCGUGCAGGCCUAAUGCCAAAUGUUGUAACAUAUAACAUCACGAUUCAUGGGCUUUGUAACGAUGGGCAAAUGGAUGAGGUACAUGAUAUAUUCACGCUUCUGUCUAUAACACAUUAAUGGAUGGGUUUUGCUCGACGGGUAGAGUUAACCAUGCGGAGGAACUAUUUGGUUCUGCCAUUGUUGCAGCCUUGAAGUUUGCUAAACGUUUCCUGCUGGAUAGAUUGAAAAAGUUUGUCUGGAUGGCCUGGUUUUGAAUUGAUUUUAAUAGAAAACGAGCUUCAAGCAUGUGCUCCAACUACUCUGGCAUGAGGUAAUACUAUAAUUUAUUUAUUUUUAAUGAGUGAGGCUAUAAAUCCUGAAUUCCAACUUGACAUGGCAUUAAUCUGGUGAGUGGCAGAAUAUUAAUUAAAACAAAAUCAUUUUCAACUUAACUUUCACAUCAAACAGAGGGGCUAAUAUGCUUUCCGGAUUAUGAUCCGCUGGCAAUCGGAAAGCCAAAAAAUUAAUUAUUCCAUUAUUAAUUCCAAUAGUAUCGCUGUAUCAGCUAAAAAGCACAAGAUUAAAUUGAUUUACGCACUUGCACCAUUUAUUUAAGCAUACUGUUGGUUUAGCGUUUGCUUAAAUUUGAAAGUAGAGUGUUUCCAUGCCACAGUGCCAUGACAUUGGUGAUUGGCCAACAGUUUUUUUUUUUUUUUUUUUUGUGUAAUCUUUUUUGGUUGCAGUAAUAAAAUGUUAAUCCUUUCUUCUCAUGAAUGUUUUCUUGAACUGAAAUGUUAAUCAUUUCUUCAUGUUGAGGCAUUAAACUACUACAGACCUAGGGUGGCAAUAUAUGGAAGUAAAUGGUCGUUUAGUAGGACCCUUUAAUUAGGGUAUUAGCUGCUCAAUUUGGAGAUCUCAUGGACCAACAAUUUAUCUGGAAUGUCACAUUCACAUAUUUGAUUGAAAAAGGAAUUAAGGAAUUUCAGGUGGCCCGGAAACGCAACCAACUAUACCCGACAAUGGCAGAAGACAUUAUAGAUUAUCGAUUAUUGAGUUAAAUAUGAAUGGUGGGAUUUCAGGUGGCCUAAAAAGUUAAACAUGAAUGUUCUACAUAAGGUUAUCUGUAACUUGAAGUUCAACAAAAAGUUUUAAAACUAGAUAUUACAAUGGUGGGAUUUUGCCUUUUAUCUCUUGUUUCUCUUCCCUUAAUCGUUUCUUGGCAUGUUUUAUCAGCUCUUCCUUUGGGUCAUUUUGUAGGACGGGUUACACCAGCUAAGCACAUGGAAAGGUUAUGUAGACUGGACUCUGGAGGAAUAAACCUGCCCUGAGAGGCCGUCAUGGUGGCAUGCUUUGCUGCUUGUUUUGUCUUGGGUCGGUCUAUUUUUCCUAUUACUAAGGCACAUUUGCACCGUUAUGUCUUGCGAACGAUUAAACAUUUACACUUUAUAGUAAAAAAAAUUACAUAUUAAGAGAAAUAUUAUAUUUGCAUGCUGAUAUGAAUUAGCACUAGAAACAUGAGGCUUGCUAAUUAGAAUUGUUAUAUUGUCAAACUCAGCUGUGGAGGUACUGGAGAAUCCAGUAUAUCUGGCCAAUGCAAGCAACCUUGUGCUGUAUCUUUCAAAGUUUAUGCGUUUUUCACCAUCCAGCUCUGCAAACAUAGUUACCAAUUUCAUGGGUUCCUCUUUGCUCUACUUGGUGGCUUUUUUACGGUUGCUUUCUUCAACACCGACAGCAGCUAUGUCAUAAGUGAGCAAUAGAAUUCAUGGUAAGUUUUUUGUUAGGAUCAAACUUUUUAACUUGUUAAAUUUUUGUAAUUUCUUACUAAUAAGGCAGAGUUGCCUAUUUUUAUCCGAUUAUCAUGCCUCAUACAAUUUUCUUGGGAUUUGCUUCGAUGCCUCUGUGACUCACCAUGAAACUCAAAAACUUUCUAAAACUAGCUCCAAAUACACAUUUCUUUGGAUUAAACUUCAUUUGGUACUCCCUCAGCAAACCAAAUGUUUCUUUCAAAUGCUGCACGUGGUCACUCGAGUUGUGAGACUUUGUGAUAAUGCCAUCCUUAUAUGCCUCCAUUAUGUUCCCAAUCAGCAGCUUGAAGAUCUUAUUCACGAAUCUCUAGUAUGUUGCUCAAACAUUUUUCAAGCCAAAGGACACGACAUUAUAACAAUACAGCCCUUGGUUAGUAACAAAAGAAGUAUGCUCCUCAUCCUGCUCGAACAUCGGUACAUGGUUGUAAUCCAAAAAGGCAUCUACAAAGCUGAGAAGUCCAUGUCUAGUUGUGGAAUCGACCAACUGAGCUAUUUUAGGCAAUGGAAAAAUAUCUUUGAGGCAUACCUUAUUGAGGUUCAUGAAAUCCAUGCACAUUCUCCACCUCCUGUUCACUUUCUUCACCUACAUCACGUUCGAAAGCCGCUACGAGUUGUUUACCUCCUUGAUGAAACCUGCAUGUAAAAUUUUAUCCACUUCACUACUAAUGCCGUCAUACCUAUCCUAGUUAAAGCAUCUUCUGUUUUGUUUCAUCGGUCUCGCAUCUCUGCUCACUGCUAACUUGUGACAAGCCGCCUUGGCAUCGACCCCUGGCAUAUCUUUGUCCUGCAAGCCAAACACAUUAAAAUGUGGUUGCAACAACUCCACCAGCUUUGCUUCCAAAUCUUCCCCAUGGGUGGCUUUAAGUAUAGGCGAACAAGGCCGUCGCCUAAGCUCUCAUAUUUUAAGAAGACCUCAUUUUUUAAGUAUUUCCUUAAUAAUUCUCUAAUUAAUAAAAUAUUUUAAUAUAUAUUUUAAGAAAUUAAAAAGUUUAUUAGAUAUCUCUCUAUUCUUAAUUAUUCUAUAAUUAAGAAUUAUUUUUUAUAAAAAAAUCUAUAUUUGGGAACCUUAAUUUUAAAGAAAUAAUUAAUACUAUUCUUUAACCAUUAGUUCAUUCCUUUUCAAUUAUUCAAUGUUAGCAUAUUUGACUUUUAAUAUUUCUUUUAAUUUCUAUUAAAAACCUCAUAAUCUCAAGAAUUAGUAAAUGAAAAAAAUUUAUUGUUCGCUUCUCUACAAAUAAAAUUUUUAUAUUCGUUGGUUCAUUUAAAAUAAUUAGUUUCUUAAAAUAUAAAGUCCAUUUUUAUUUUUGAACAUCAAUUCAUCAUUUUAAAAUUUUUAUAUUCUAUCUUUCUAAAUAUUCUAUUUGAAAAUAAAAUUGUUUUUAUUUAUUUGUUUGUUUAUUUUUUAACGGUUUUAAUGGAAUAAAAAAAUUAUCUUCUUGACUAUUUUUUAGGUUUUAUUUUUUAAAUUUUUGAUUUUUUUAUUAUUGUUGAAAUUCAAGAAUUAAAGAUGGAAUAAAUUUUGAUCCUUUGUAUAUAUCUUUGAGUAUUAAAAUUACAAAACAAUAGAGGUCUCAUAAACAAAUUUCGCCUAAGGCCUCUCAAACUCUAAAGCUGGUCCUGAUCUUCCCCCUAGGGGUAGCCAUAAAUUUUGGGUUCGAUUUAGUUUAACCUUUAAAAUCCGAACAUGUUUAAACUUAGAACCUAUUCGUUUUUAAUUGUUUUGUCAAACUUUUAGGAGAUUAAAGGGGUGUGAAAGGACAUAAGAAGUCUUGUUAUGGCUUGGCCCUUUAUAAUAGAUAUUGGUGCACAUGCUCUUUUCUUCUAUAUUUUUAGAGAAAGAAAAUUAGUAUAUGAUCUGUUUGAAGUCGCCUGGAAUUUCAAAAAUCCUAUGCUUCAAUAUAUUAUUAAUCAAAUCCCCUUAUAUCUUGAUAAAAUCUUUUUUACUCUUUCAUUCGCAAGGAGCUGGAUGAUGGCUGGAAAUAAGGAAAUUCCUUUUUUUUUGUUUCACCCCAAUUGUUCUUGUAUUUGUAUAUUGCCAUAUAUCAUAAAAUACAAAUUUAUGUAUGUCAAAAUGAAAUCGAUCUUAAAAAAAGAAAAAAAAGAUCUCGCGUUACUGCCGCUUACACACCCCCAUGCCACAGCUGCUAUUAAUUCCGUUUGGCGCACCAGCAUUACAGCUUCUAGCUGUUCUUUCUUCCUUGAGUUGAUUUGGUUCCUCGUUCUAGGCUUCAAGUUAAUGUCGUCUUCAGCCAUUCUAGAGUCGUUUACUUUUGAUCUAGCUGUUGCUGUCUCUACCUCCUUCUUCAUUAAUUGCCAUCAGCCGCAUAAAGGAAGGAUGUGAGUUUAUGUUUACGAUUCCUAAUGGUGAUGAAUAAGACAUGGUGUAAGAGAUGUUGUUAACUGAAUUUAGUAUGCUUUCUAGGAUCAUAUGCAAUACAUAUGUAUUUCUUGUAUAAUUGUUGUUUGUAUAUUGUAUUUCAAUCGGGCAUGGCUAUCUUUGUCUUACUCUUGUACAUUUCUAUUACUUUAGAUAACUAUUAAGGUGUAGAUGGCUUUCACGGAUAAAUAAUAAGCAAUUUUAGGAGCUUUUCGUGUAAAAAUAUAGAACCUAUAUUGUUGAAAUGUCGAGUAUACUUAGUAGUUGAUAUUUGUUUAUAUUUUUACAUUAAUCUGGGAUGGGAUUUGAACUUUAUAACCGAAAUUGAAUCUAAACCAAAAUUAAGAUAAGAAUAUUCAAACUAAAUCGAUCCAAAAUGCAAACCUAAACCAAAUUGAGCUAAAUUAAAUUUGAUUUAGUUUGGUUUGGGUUUACUCUCUAAACCUGAUUGGAUUGACUUCUCCAACCCAAUUAAGUUUUAGCCCAAAUUGAAACCUAAACAACCUGAAUCAAAACCCGAUUUGCCCACCCUUAUGAUACGAACCCAUCCAAAAACUAACGCAACCCUAAUCAAUUUAAUCUCUAAGAUUAAAUAGAAGCACUACCCAAUGUUCAAUGAAAGCAUGAACCUUAGUAUGUGAGGAUGCUACAAUCAAUUAUGGAUGAUUUGAUUAUAAGUUAAGAGUUUGAAUGACACAGAAAUUUGAUAAAUUCAAAUAGUUUGUUUAAGAAUAAAAAAGAAUUAACUCUCUCACUAAUUGCAUCAAAAUUUAUUUGUCUUUGUUUAUUAGAUGCGAGUACAUUAUAUAGGAUUGGUUACAAAAAUUUUUAGAAAUAAAUCCUAAACCGAAAUCAAAUCAGAAUCCUAAUCUAAUGCAAAUAAGAAAAGAAUUUUAGUCAAAUCAUAAUCCUAAUCAAAGCAAGUAGGAAAGAAUCUAAAUCGAGUCAAAAUUAUAAUCUAAGUAAAUAGGAAAGAAUCUAAAUAAAAUCAUAAUCCUAAUCGGUUUAAAUAAAUUACAUCAAUUAAAAUAAAAACUCAACAAUUAAAAGAGAAAUAACUUCUUGUUUCUCCACCAGCAUCAUCCAGAAACGGGAAAGUAUUCAAAAAGAAAAGUAGCAUAUUUUUCAAAUGGAAAAGUAUAUGAAAAAGAAAAAUAAGAUAUUUUCUCGCCGUAAUGUGCAAGCCAACUUCCUAUUUUAUGGAAGUGAUUAUUUGGAAACUUUAAGAGCCGUAAUCAUGUAUUUAUCACGUGCAAUUCCUUCAAUAGGCCUCUAUAAAUUUGAUCGAGCCUCAAUUACUUGAAUAAACCCAUUAAACGCUUCUUUAAAUUUGUUUGUUCGAGCUCUAGUGACAGGUCCAACGAUAACUUGAAUAGGAUUUGAAUAUAUCUCAUCCCACGUGCUUGUGAUAGUUUUGUCCUCAAUCUAAUCAUUUUACUUCCCUAAUCUCGACCCAAUCUUUAAAAUUUUUUCAUGCUAGCUUGACUUUACUAUGACUGCCUUGAGAUUUUCAACUGGUUUUUAUCUCUCUUUCUUGAAAUCUCUUCAAGUGUCAAGUUAUCUACGUGGCUUCUUUAGUCGCGGACACAUAAUCGCACCUAACAAUUCUCUAGUCACCCUUUACAACUUUUGCCACACUAUUUACUCAUUCUUUGAGUGCCAUGUAAUGGUUAGACAUCAUGGACUUGCUAAUCCUCAUAAAGGGUCUUCCAAAAAUUAUUUGAUAUGGGCUGUCUUCCUCGACUAUUAUAAAAAAAACUGGCAUGAUGGUCUUUUCAAAUGGUCCAGAGCCGAUCGUUACUAGCAGCUCUAGGCAUUAAUUUUCCUCUUCUAUAUCCUUUCAAAGAACUGUUGGUGUGCUUGUUGGGUAAAAAUUCAAAUACUAUGGGUGUCAAUGUGUAAGUAUACACAACAAGUAAUAUAAUGAUAAAUAUACAAGAUCAUCUCCACAGGGGUUGAUGUUACGAAAAUUACUACAGCAAGCUUAACAAUUUUGGUUGAAGUGAAAGUAGAUUGAUCAAUUAAACAAAUAAACUACCUAAUAAAAUGCAAUAAGUAAAUAUGCAGAAAAGCAAACUCUCAGGUCAAACACAAAAAUAAAAUCAAUAGGAAUGAAGUAGUUGAGUGACUAAACUCUUUUAAUGGAAUUGACUAUUUCUUGCAAAUUUCGAUUCAGUUGCUGCAGCAUCUGCUACAGUACUAGGCAUAAUCCUCAUGCAUCAUCAGCUGUCGCAUGUUGGAUGUCUUAUAUCUAUAUGCAACCUAACAAUGACCAAUUGUUAUGCCAACAUAAUAUAUAUCAUUACACAUUUAGGUUCUAUUUACCCUAUAAGGUGAAUCCCUAUAUCUAGUUCAUCACUAAUUUUAGAUUAAGUAUGACCUUUUUUGGAAUCAAGUUGAACUCAAUCUAGGAACCCAAUCUAAAACUAAAUAUUAUUCUAAUAUGUUCCACUAAGAUAAGCCAUUUUGUGGCUCUUUCCUAGCUUGUACCAUUAAAUGGGUAGUCAGCUAAAAUAAUGACUUUAAAUAAAUACUAUCACAACAAAAUGUUAUAGCAAACAUGCAGCCAGGGACGUAGCCAGGAUUUUGAUCGAGUUGGGGCACAUUUAAAAUAAAAAAUGACUUGAAUGCGCGAUUGCUCGUGUGGUAAGUGUGGGCCCCACAAACUCCAAAUGGGAGCUUGCCACAUGUACAAUCGUGCUCCUUAUAGAGUGUUUCUGACUGCAUCUAAUUAAAAUGCUAUUAAAAUAUAAUACACUUCUAAAAAUUUAGAUGGAAAUAUAUAACAUUAUGUUGAGUGUUAGAAAAUGGAUAUUUAUAAAGGAGAAAAUCGUCAUUUUACAUUUCAAGUCUUACUAACAACCCUUACUUUUAUGUAUUUAAGCUUCUUGUAAUUUAAUUAUGUGUGUUUGAUUUUAAUUAAGUAUUUUAUGUAUUUUAGGGGCAUCAUAGUCAAUUCACAAUAAAUGAGAGAUCAAACGAUAAAACGGACAUCACUUUUGAACUCAGGACGGUCGAAAACCUUAAGAGAAGCAUAAAAGGAAAAAUGGCACUGUUCACAUGUACGGUACUAUUCAUAUGUACGGUACUGUCUACGUUACUGUUCACGACACUGUUCAUAUAGACGGAUCGAUGACGUGGCAUUGACCGAUGAUGUGGCAUUCACUGAUGAGGUGUCAUGAUCCUGUUGGACUAAAAUUCUUAUGUACUGUUGAUGGUGACGUGGCAGCAUAUUAGUGGACUAAAAAACGUGUGUACGGUACAUGCAACACAUGGGAAUAUUUUCAACCAAACCGCAUUACUGUUCAAACCGUGUCACUGUUCAAACCGCGUGGUCAAACCGUGUUACUGUUCAAACUGCGUACUGUUCACUGAUGACGUGGCACAAUCCUGAGCAUCCAAACUGUUUUCAAUCCGAUGGCCAUGAUUUACUCAAUGUAUCUAUAAAAAUGGGACUUCUCCCCCCGAACGCAUGCGAUUGCUCAUGAGGAAUAACAUACCUGCUGAUAUCUUUUGGUUAAUCGAGGUGAAAGUACGAUUGGCAGGUGAGUUACCUCCAAAAUUUAUUGCAUACAUGCCUGGUUGUGGUAAAGAAAAUUAUGCAAGAAAACGAUGAGCUCGAAGAAUUUCUGUUGCUUGUCAUAAGUAUGCCAGAAUGAGUUGCGAUAAAAAUCCAUAUUCUUUAGGAAUGGCGUCUGAUAACAGGGAAUAUAAGAUUCAAUUCAUUAGGGAUGACUUGAAUAAGGAGUCAUUGGAUGAUAUCCUUUUAUCUCUUGAAACGCAUCCCAUUAGAUAUGUGCAAGGAACGAUUAUUCAGUUAUGACCAUUAUUCCAGAAAGAGCAUGCACGAUAUAGUCUCGGGAAUCUGACUAUAAACGACCAUGUUUGCCAGUUUAUAAAAAAAUUGGAUGGGAAGCCUAUCCUAGACCCAUAAAGGGCGUUCAAGCCGUUUCUGGACGUAAAACCAGAGGAAGAUGUGAGCCACAGUCGCAACUACCUGUAAAUAUCCUUUUACUUUACUGUUAUUUUAUUUUACUGUUGUUUUAUUGUUUGUAUUAUUGUCUUUAAUAAUUUUAUUGUUGUUUGCUUUUUCCUUUUUACUGUUUCCUUUUUUACUCGCGAACCAUGUGCUUUACGCGUUAUUUGACACUGACAUACUACCUCAUACACAGCUGUGACCCACUGUCCCCAAGAUUCUUAAAUAUGAAUUUUUGUCAAGCACUCACAAAUUAUUUUUGAGAAGUAUCCCAAUGACAGCUACUCCACAUAGACAAUUUAAGAACAUUUGUGUGCUUUCUGGAUUUAACUAUGGCAAACCUAAAGAGUUCGUUGAGGCAGCCAUAGAUCUUGGUCGAAGCAUAGCAGAGAGAAAAUUACACUUGGUGUAUAGAGGAGGUAACUGAGGGUUAUUAAAAUUGGUCUCAAAAGCUGCUUUUGUCAGAGGAAGCCAAGUGCUAGGCAUCAUCCCAAGCGUCCUAAAACCUUUGGGCAGUUUGUCUGACUCAUCGACUGGAGAAGAGUUAGUCGACUCAGGUAUGCAAGCAAGAAUAACUGAAAUGCUUAAUCAUGCUGAUGUUUUUAUUUUCCUUCCAGGAGAUCUUACAACACUAGAGGCACUUAUCACACUAGCAUCUUGGGCCCAUCUGCACAUUCACCAGAAACCCAUCGGUUUGCUAAAUGUCAAUAACUUUUAUGAUGGCUUUAUCGCAUUUCUUAACCAUGCAAUAAAAAAAUAUUUCAUUCCUUCAAAUGCGAAAAAACUUUUUAUUUGUGCUCACACUGCUACUUGAUCUGUUACAAGCUCAUAGACCGGAGCCAAACCCCUGGACCUUUGUGUUGGAGCGUCCAAAUAAUGAUGGUAACAGUAGCAGCAGUAAGAAGUACAAAUUAGAUUUAACUCUCCGCUUGUAAAUAUUUUCUUUUGUGUUGCACCACUCAGGUGAUGCCUUCUACACUCUACUUCUUUCCUUUAAAACAUUGAGGACAAUGUUUCAUUCUGGUUGGGGAGAGGGAAUAGUCGACAAUUGUGGAAUCUUGGUUAAGUUUUUACUGAUUUUUUGUUGUAGAAACUAACUGUUGCUAACUUUUUAUGUUGAAGAUGGCUGAAUAUGGAGUGUAGUGACUCUAGAAACGCAUCUUCAUUGUUUGAAAAAAAUUAAAAAAAAAAAUCAGACAUUUUCUUUUUCUUUAUUAAGUUUUGAUGUUCAUUUUUCUUCUUCUUUUUAAUUUCUCCUCUAUAAAUAUACAUUUUCAAAUUGUUGAGUCGAAGAUGGCUGAAUAUGGAGUGUAGUGCCUCUAGAAACGCAUCUUCUUAGUAAAAAAAAAAAUUUCUUUUUCUAUCAUAUUAAGUGUAACUUUUCUAAUUAGUUUUUAUACAUCCUUUUCACAUUUCUGCAUGCAUAUUUUCCUUUCAUGUUUAGGAUAGGUUGGGGGGUAUAACGUUGUUUAAAAAAAAACAAAAACAAAAAAAAAAAUUUGUGUGAUUUGUUUUAAUAUUGGAUGACAUGAUUAAUUUCAUAUUUUAGUAUUUGUAUUAUCUUUGGUCUUAAGUGAUGUUACACUAUGUUUGCUACUCUACAUGUUGAUGUCGGAGAUAAAUAUGAGUUGCUUGAAGGAAUGAACAUGUCAUAAUAAGUACCAAGUGAGUUUUUGAGCCUAUCAUUUUUCUUGGAGAGUAACCCUUUCCCACAUUUUUUAUACAGCUUAACAGUUUAUUAUUUUAUACACGAUCUCUAGAUUUCUUUUGAGUUAACCCUUAAAACAAAAUUUGUAAAAAAAAGAAGAAAAAAAUGUGUGUUGCUACAUUUGGAGGUCCAUCUAACUAGUAGAUAUGGAAGAUUAUUUAGAGCCCUAAAAGACGGUGGAAAGGUCAUCUUUGAUCCGUUUGAGUCUUUCUACCCAUCCCUUUUAUGAAAUAUCUAUUGUUAACCCUUUUGAGCCUUUUAAAAAAAAAUUAAAAAAAAAAAACCUUUUCUUUGUCAACUUAUCAUCUUGACCCACUCUGAUUUGGAGUAUUAUCCAAUAUCUUACAAGUUCCAUCACCUAUUUAUGUUUGAGAAAAAUGUAAAUAAAUAUUUUGUACAGUGAAGUUAUGCCCAACAAAAGCAAAAACAAAAAAACAAAAAAUUGUUAUUUAAAAAAAAAAAGAAAAAAAUAACAAUAAAAGGUGAAAUCCACCUUACAACUUCAAAAAAAAAAGUUCUCUAUAGUUUUCUCAAACAUACACUUUGUUUUCCUUAUUUCCCUUCUUUGUUAGUCAUGUCCCUAGCCUACGUUACGUCCUAAUAAAAAUCCUUCUUGAUUUUAGGGAACUAUAGUCUGAAGUAAAUUGGGUUGACUACCAUUUUUGUUUGACUUGAGAUCGUAUUAUUUCUAAACUGAGGGCAUAUUUCUUUCAUCUUGGUGAGAGCAUGUGAUAUCACUUCUUUAUUAUUUUCUCUCAAUUAUCAUUCAUUGGAAUAACUAUUUUUAUUGGGUUUAAUUUCUUUGUAAGAGUGUCACUACUUCCAGUGAGAUUUUGGGGUUUGACAUGUCAUUCUUGAAAGUAACUGUGACAAUCUACUAAGCUGAUUCAUGUGGAUGGUUGAUGUGGGCGUGAUGUUCCUUUAGACUGGAGAUAAUGCUUAUACUUUUAUUUGAUUACUAUCAUUAGUCUGAUUAAAUAAACACGAGUGUUUAAAAAAAAAUCAUUUUGAAUUUGAAUUUUAUUUUCGCUUUAUUUGCUAGGGACUAGCAAUAAGUUGGUUGGGGGGUGUGUUGAGUAUUAGAAAAUGUAUAUUUAUAAAGGAGAAAAUAGUCAUUUUACAUUUCAAGUCUUACUAACAACCCUUACUUUUAUGUAUUUAAGAUUCUUGUAAUUUAAUUAUGUGUGUUUGAUUUUAAUUAAGUAUUUUAUGUAUUUUAGGGGCAUCAUAGUCAUUUCACAAUAAACAAGAGAUCAAACGGCAAAACGGACAUCACUUUUGAACUCAGGACGGUCGAAAACCUUAGGAGGAGCAUAAAAGGAAAAAUGGCACUGUUCACAUGUACGAUACUAUUCACAUGUACGGUACUGUCUACGUUAUUGUUCACGACACUGUUUAUAUAGACGGAUCGAUGACGUGGCAUUGACCGAUGAUGUGGCAUUCACUAAUGAGGUGUCAUGAUCAUGUUGGACUAAAAUUCUUAUGUACUGUUGAUGGUGACGUGGCAGCAUAUUAGUGGACCAAAAAACGUGUAUAUGGUACAUGCAACACAUGGGAUUAUUUUCAAUCAAACCGCGUUACUGUUCAAACCGUGUUACUGUUCAAACCGCGUGGUCAAACCGCGUACUAUUCACGCAUAUUGUUGACUGAUGACAUGGCGCAAUCUUGAGCGUUCAAACUGUUUUCAAUCCGAUGGCCAUUAUUUACUCAAUGUAUCUAUAAAAAUAGGACCUCUCCCCCCUAAUUUGGAUCUCUGAAUCCAUUUUUGGACUCUAUUUUAUGUAAUUCCUUCUCCAUCUUGUAUUUUCUACGUAUUUUAAUAAAUUCUCAUUUUGCCCCUAGUUCAAUUAUGAGUGGCUAAUUUUCUUUCAAGUUUGGGUUGAAGGUGAAGUCUCAACAUGUGUCAUGGGCUUUAUUUGGUAAAUUUAUUUUCUCUUCCCCUCUUGUUUUUGUGGAUGUUUUGACUUUUCGUUGACAAAUAAUAAUAAUCUUGUCUAGUACCGCCCUGGUUUCACCGGCUCCCUAGUAUAAGAUUAUUAUUAUUUGGCACGAUAAGCCCUUAGCACCAUAUUGAUUAGAGCGUGGUUCAUGAGGUGUGGAUUCCCCCCUCAUGAUUUAAUUGGCAUUAAUAAGGAUUAUUUAGCCCAUGAUGCAUAUUGAUACGGAUCCAGAUACUCAAGUACGUCAUUUCAAUAGAUUUUCACUUCAAUUUAUUCUUGCCAUUUCAAUUCCAAUUUUAGGAUCAUUUAAGUCACUUUCACCACAAAAUCCAACCACUUCAUACAAAAUUAAUUCUACAUAUAACUAAAAUCCACCUCCUCGUGGGAUCGACACUCGUCACCAUUAGUCUAUUCUACAAUAGAUUCGUGCGCUUGCGAGUUCAAUAAAAUUUGCACAACACAUUACAACUAUAAUAUUCAUUGCUAAUAAAUUUACUUAGUAUAAUUGGUCUCAGUGAAAACUUCUCAAUGCGAUUUUAUGAGUUGCAAAUAAUGCAUUAUCAAUAUAAGCACAAAUAUAUUUUUCAAUAUACAAGACUAGGUUAUAGCUUAAUUUGCUCUUAAAAUCUUUUAAUAAUAACAAAAAAUAUUUAUAUAUUGUAACACACAAAACAAAAUGAAUGCUAGAUAAAAUUCUAGAUUUUAAAACUAGACAAAAGAUUAAUCAAAAAAUUAAAAAUUAGAAUUGGGUAGACUUACAACUUAUGGUUCAAUGUCGAAAUACCAACUAUUUGAUUUUGCUUGAAUAAAAAACAAAACGAUUAAAGACUGGUCCAUUAACCAUUUUACUAACAUUUUGUUGUGAUUGUUUUUCAUUUUAAUAUUUGUUCUUGUGUCUUUAAUCCAGUUUCAUGAAAUGUUAAUAACUAAUUAAAUUAUUUAUAAUUAGAAAUUUAAACUAUGGACAAUAUGAAAUAUUUUAAAAUUACUAGAGUCAGUUUCAAAUUUUACAAUUCAGCUGGGGUAUUUUUCAUAAAUAACAAAUAAAAUACAUUUUUUUAGUAUAAUUAUAAAAAAAAUUUAAAAGCCAGCAGGGGCAUGUGCCCCACUCGUCCCAUGCUGGCUCUGUCUCUGCAUGUAGCAACAUAUAAAUUCAGUUAAUGAGCCAUUAAAGUUGUUUAUCACUCAACCACAAGGAAUAUUAGUUCAUGAUUUUCAAAACGAAACUAAACAACAAAGUUUCAGCCGGCAAAUACAUUCUCAUGUCAAAGAAUAAAAAUAAAUCAAAAUAAGAAUAAGAAAGACUGAAUUCCAAUUGAUUCCGGCAAACUUCUCCACUGAUGCAGUCUUGAUUCUUGCUCUUGAAAUCUAUUUUUCCUUGUUUCUUUUCUAUUUAUGAUCUUGGUUGACGGCCGCCUUUUUUCUUUUGUACAUGUGCCUCUGUUAUAGUCCAAAAUUAGGGUAAACGGAAGUUCAGAGCGCGCAUCUUCCCAAUUAGGAAAUUGCAGAUUGCAAUCCGUUAAGUAUCUUGCGCGAAAUCUUCUCUGUCAUUGUUCCCGAAUUGCUACAUCACGGUUUUCUACAGCAAUAGCUACAGUAUAUGCACUGUUCCAAAUUUACUCCAAUUCUUCUAUAGUCGUAUUCUUUUGUCCUUUUUGCAAACCCAUUGCUACAACAUCCUUCCCAUGAAAAUUUAACUUCAGGUUACCUACAAUUAUGCAUAUGUUUUAAGGACACAAUUAUUAGAAAUCAAGCAAAUUUUAUUAAACUUAAACUAAAAUGAAUGUUAAUGUAAACUAUCAUUAAAUGCACUAAAACACAUCAAUUACCCUCUAAGUAAUCUUGAUUUUAAGUCUAAAAGUAUCAUGAUAAUCUUAUUUCAUAGAGUUUUCAAUACUCUAACUUCAAGUUGCACGAAUCUAUAAGGAUUCUUAUGAAUUCUUUGCUCGUUACAUUAGCUUUUAACACCAAAACAUCUUCAUGCAAGUAUAGUAUCCCUUCCUCAUCGUAUUAUGUCCAAAUGAUUGGAACUUGCUUGGUUCUUGCUCAUUUUGUCAAUGAAGCAUUGAAGAGAAUAUCAUGACUUGUUAUUGCAUACCUUUUGUAGUACUUCUAGGCUUUGUUAGAGUUAUUUACUAGAGUUGGCCCUCUUACAAUAACUCUAGCUACUGGCUCUUCAAAAAUCAUAUCACCAGUAUUCUUUUUUGCUGUAUGCACUGUUGAUCUGUCAUUGGAUAAGAACUGUCAAUAUACUUAUUCAAAUAAUAAUUUCUUACUAGAACUUCUACUUGUUUUUUUAAGUCGUGACACUGUGGUUUGGUGUGGCCAUGGGUGUUAUUCAUCAGCAUUAUCCUAUCUCUUAGGAAAUUUUGGCAAGUAAGGACUAAUGAAGGUAGGUUUUGGUUUUGGUUUAGUUGACCUUGUAUUUUGAGUUGGGUUAACUUGGAUCAUUAUAGUGAGGAUGGCUAUCAACUAGUUAUAUCAUUUCAAGUAGCUCUAUUUAGAGAGGGGUGGGGUUAAUUUCUUUUUACAUAGUAUGGGAGAUAAGAGUGGCCAAAAUCAAAUUUAGAUUGGAUUCGGAUCAAUUUGAUCAUAUAUUAAAUUUUUCGGAUUGACUAAAAAAACUCAUCUGAAUGUACUCGAACUUGAAUCUAAUAUGAAUAUAUUUGGAUAGGAUGAAUAAUUUGGCUUAAGUUAGAUUUGGAUCGGUUUGGUAAAUCUCAAAUUUAAUUUUAAUUUACAGGUCACUAUACUCAAUGGAUAAGACAUAAUUUGUAUAUCUCUGUAAUAAACAUUCAAUUUUGAUAUUCAACUACAUAGAUAGAAGAAAAAUAAGUCAUUUACAUUACAAUUGUGGUGCAUAUCACUGAAAAGUAUCAUAAUAAUUCAUAUUUUUCCAACCAAAAUGAAAAGAAACCAUAAUUUAAACAACAUAAUAAGCAAAUAGAAUUUCUAAAGAAAAGGAAAAAGAGUAGAUGUAAGCUAGAAAAAGAGAAAUCAUGUAUUAGAGAAGAAAAGAGCAUUUUUGCACAAAAACAACUAAUACCAAAACUAAUAAAAAAAUCUCAUAUUCAUUUUCCAAUUUUCUCAUAAGCUUACGCAAUUCUUCCUCUUCUACUCUUCAAAAUCAUUUGCCAAUUUUCUCAAUUUUCUCAUAAGGUGAUCUUUGGUCUUUUGAUGAGAAAAUUACUUGAGUAACUUACAACUGGUUAGGUUUGGGAUUUUGGGGAAAACAAGUUAGGUUUACACAUUACAAACUUCACUAGUCAAAUUGUCGAAUUACAUCCGAAUUAGAUUUGAUCCGAUUAUAAUCUCAUCGGAUUGGGUUGUUUCUAUUUAAUCAAAUUACAACAAUAAUCCAUAUUCAAUUUGAAUAUGUUUGGAUUGAAUCAAAUCCAAUCAAUCUAAAUCCAAUUCGAUGCUAACCCUUAUGGGAAUAAGUAGCCAUCCUUAUUAUGACCGCUCUACUCACUGAUGGUUUGUCAUGAAGCCUAACUAGUCCACUUAUUUUUUAGCUCUCCUUUCAUUUCGUUUUAACUCCACAAGUUACUCGUCUCUAACUCUUGCUGCUUUUUCCUCCUCGAUUUCAAUAUCCACCUUCACCUAGUCAUAAGCAGUUGAAUAAGAGUUUAUUAUUGGGUUCCUUAAGUUAUACCACAAUUGGCCUAUCUUUACUCCCUCUUUUAAUCCCUUCAAGGCCUGAAGAUGAUUGAAAGCUCCAUAGUCAAGGAUUGCUUGGUGAUAUCUCUUGAAAAAUCUCUUAGAGUUUGAUUUUCUUCCUACUCGAGCCUCAUUGGCUCUAUCAUGUCAUCCUCUGGUGUUAUUGCUCCUAAAAAAUGUUCAGCAAAGUCUCCAUGCAAUUGAUUAGAAGUUCUGAUGCUUCCCUAUGGCAAUUUGCGAUACCAAUCAUGUGCAUGCUAUUCUAAUGUCAAUGGAAACACUCGACACCACUGUAGUGGUGUCAAACCAUGUACUCUAGUCAUCUCAUUAAAUCGUUCUAUAUGCAUAAAGAGUCACUCUUUCUGGAAUAUUUGAGGUUUAAAACUAAUCCCUUGAUAUUGUUGUGCUCAUGAUUUUUGCUGAGAGUAAGAUUCAUUAUCCAUAAUUAUUCUCCAGCUCAGUGCUCUUUCAAUCCUAUACUUCUUCAAUAAUUCGUGCUAACCUAUGCAUCUUAUCUUCUAAUUUCCCAACGCGACUUGGGUUCUACACCCUUAUCUACUUGCAGUCAGCGUUCUGUUUAUUCCAUAGAUUUUCACCGAAGUACGUUUUGGUUGCUCUCCAAAAAAAUAAAAAAGAAAGAAAUCACCUAAUACUUUUGGGGCAAGGCAAGCUUCCAAAUAACAUUGCAAAUGAUUUGGUGAAAAAGCUUUCAUCUAUUCCGGUAAUUUAGAAGCACUUUAAUUCGAUUCUCUCUUAAGAGUCCUAUCACUUUAGGAUGAUUUUUAAGUAAAAUCCUUGUAUAUAUUAUAUUUUUGUUAAUAUAACAAACACUAAAUAUUUAUGAUCUGAAAGAUAGUUGUUGAAUGGAGAUCGUUUCACACAAAAAAAGUAUUUAAAAAGAAUGUGGUAUUGUAAUAUUAAAUAAUUUUUUGUAGUGAUAUAAGAGUAUCACACUAGUUUUUUUUUUGCAUUCCAAAAAAUUGAAAAUAAGAUCUAAGUAAUUUCAAGAAUAAAUUAGCAAUAUUAGGAACAAGUUUUACAAAAAGCUUCUGGGACAUGUUAUACAAAUUUGUUAUAUAAGAAAGUCUCUACUAGAUCUUCUUUCCACAUUACAAAAAUUAGAAAUGAGAUCUAAAUCGACCAAUUAUAAAUUUUAUAGUGAGUGGGUCCUAUAUGAAAACAAGGUUUUUUUUUAUUAUAGUGUAGUCAAUUAUCAGCCAUCUACCCUAAGUUUAUUUUAUAUUAAAAAAAUACUAGGAAGAAUUAAUUUGUUUAGUUUUUUACUUUAAUUUUAUAAUUUGUAUUAGUUGUCUAUUAAAAAGAUAGAAUUAUCCUUACUAAAUGACAAAAUAGAAACAAAUACAAAUAACAACUAUGGUCAUUUUGUAAGGGUAAUUCUAUCUUUUUGGCAUCGAAUUGCAUAUUAAACUAUUUUAAGUACUUAAAAUAAUAUAAGUUCUUUAUCAAAUAAAUAAAAUUUUAAACUAUGUAUUUACCAAACAUUUUAAAAUCACAGCUCCUCUACUACAUCUCCAAAUAAAUUCUUAAAAUCAUAAAUAACUAAAUUAAUGGGGUUUUAAAAGGACUCUCCGGAUUUUGCAUGAUUUCUUUAUAUAUAGGUGCUGGGUGAUCAUGUUGGUUCCUAUAGGUACCAUCAGCCACACUUUUUGUUAGUGGUGAAAAAACAAUUUUGGGUACAAUUUGUGAUUUGUAUAACGUGCGGUAUUAAACAUUUGAAACAUACACCGACAGUAAUCUAAUCAAUAAUUAAAAAAAAUUGUAUAAAAUACAUAUGUCGUAGGCAACUCAGAUCCUUUUCUUUAUAAUUCCAUAUCAUGUGAUUAUCAAAAAACUUCUUGAGAUUUUUAAAUUUUGUAAUUGCACUAUCCUUGAAUUAUCAAAAGACUCUUGAUAAUGUUCUUCUUCUUAAAGAUGCCCUUAAUCCGUAAAUGGUCCAAUAAUUAGUUCAUAAAACGAAUUUAUUACUUUAGACAAGUCUCAAAUAUGCAUACCUCUUAUAACUCCGUAUUGCAUAAUUCCUUACUUAAAUGCAUUUGUUUCCUUUCUCUAAAUUUUAGAAUGGCCUUGUCUACUAAAUUUCCUCUUUAAAUUUGACUGCCAACUAGGAAUUUCGCCAAAAUUUCCACCCCAUCUUACUCUCUGAAAUAUGUCUUCCACGUUACUAUAGCAAAUUUUACAUCUAGGAUACUGAAACAUUUUUUUUUUUUCAAUUUUCAAAUAUUUAGCUGUUGACAAUAGGUCUUUAGCUGCUCACCAAGAGAAAAUUUUCAUCUAAAACUUUUUUUGAUAAGGCAAGCCUCCAAAUAACAUCCAAAUGGUUUGGACAUUCAGUUCUACUCAAAAUUCAGAUUAAUUCACACAUAUUUAGAUUUUAGACAAGAAACAUAUGCCACCUAAAUAUUUAUGACUUAAAAUUAUUUAAUAAUCAUGGCACAUUUAACCUAUCUAAACAUGAAAUCUUGUGGAGACUUAUGUUUAAGCAGGAGGAUAACGUGAGAAAAUUGACACAUUAAUUUACAAUUUGUACGCCAACUGAAUAAUUUUUGUUUGUUUUUUGUUUUUGAUAAUAAAACAAGCCUCGCAAGAGCUUAGGUUUUUAGCCAACUGAAUAAAUUUCCCCACUCAAAUUAGAAACAAUAAAAUCUAAUAAUUAUGUUAUGAGCCCAUCAGACAAAUAGUGAGACAUCAUAUUGUUAAUACCUACUCGUAAAAUUAACGGGAUAACGCGGUUUAUACGGACAGAUUAUCAAGGUAUUGUUAAUACCUUCUGUACCGGUAAUUCUUUUUUUCUUCUUUUUCAACCCCAAAUAAUCAAAAGCUCUCCAAUGGCUUUUGUAUCCACAACUCGUCCAUUUCAUUUUACUUCAAUUUCAGUAUCAGCUCUUAGAUGUAAUUUCUCAUCUUCGUUCCCUCAUACCAGAAAACCCACAUCUUCAAUUUCGGAAAAUGAACCCUCAGAUCCGACUACAACAGCUAAACUGAAGGAGUCGCUACGACUGACAGUCAAAGACGGAGCCUCAAUCGAAAAAUUUCUUAAAGAAAGGUGAAAAUCAUCAGGUCAAGGUGAUAUUAAUCUUAUUACUCCUAAUGAAGCCUUGUGUAUCUUUGAUUACAUGCUCCGUAUGCACCCUUCUCCGCCUCCGGUUUCUUCCUUCAAUAUUUUGUUUGGUUGUCUUGCUAAGAAUAAACAUUAUGAUACUGUCCUUUCACUCUUCAAGAGACUCAAUUCAACUGGGUUGUUUCCAGAUCUUUAUACUCACAGUAUUUUGAUUAACUGGUAGAGUUUCUCAUGGUUUUGUUGUUCUUGGGAGAAUCAUCAGGUCUUGUUUUACUCCAGAUGCUGUGACCUUUACUUCUUUGAUUAAAGGUUUGUGUGCGGAUAGUAGAAUCAUGGAGGCCGCCGCAUUGUUUACAAAACUUAGAGUGUUUGGUUGUGAGCCUGAUGUUUUUACAUACAAUACGUUGAUUAAUGGAUUGUGUCGAACUGGCCAUACAAUUGUUGCUCUAAAUUUAUUUGAAGAGAUGGCUAAUGGAAAUGGGGAAUUUGGUGUCGUUUGUAAGCCAGACACUGUUACAUACAACACUAUCAUCGAUGGUGUUUGUAAGGAAGGUUUCGUGGACAAGGCCAUGGAACUGUUUCUGCAGAUGAAGGAUGAGAAUAUUAACCCCAAUGUGGUUACUUAUAACUCUUUGAUUCACUAUUUCUCUCAUGCUGAUGAUUGGAAUGAGGCUAAACGUUUGUUUAUUAAGAUGAUGGACCAAGGUGUGCACCCUAAUGUUGUGACUUUCAGUGUGAUCGUGGAUGAGCUCUGCAAGAAUGGGAAGAUGGAAGAAGCAAGUAGGUUGUUGGACCUGAUGAUUCAGAUUGGUGUGCAUCCAAACACUUUUGUCUAUAACACAUUAAUGGAUGGGUUUUGCUUGACGGGUAGAGUUAAUCGUGCAAAGGAACUAUUUGUUUCUAUGGAGAGUAACGGGUGCAUGCAUGAUGUUGUUAGUUACACCACAUUAAUAAAUGGGUACUGCAAGACUAAGGAUGUAGAGGAAGCUUUAAAUCUUUAUAGGAAAAUGCUGUCUAAAGGAAUUAGGCCAACAGUUGUUACAUAUAGCACCUUGUUUCUUGGCCUUUUUGAAGUACACCAGGUUGAGCAUGCUUUAAAACUGUUUGAUGAGAUGCAGCAUAAUGAUGUAGCAGCCGAUACAUAUAUAUACAAUACCUUUAUUGACGGGCUCUGCAAGAAUGGUUUUGUUCUAGAGGCACUGGAAUUAUUCUGUGCUAUAGGAAAUAGCAAGUAUGAACUUGAUAUCAUAUCCUACAGCUGCCUCAUUGAUGGAUUGUGUAAAAUAGGCAAACUGGAAACUGCUUGGGAACUGUUUCAAAGUUUGUCUCGUGUAGGCCUAUUGCCAAAUGUUGUAACAUAUAACAUCAUGAUCCAUGGGCUUUGUAAUGAUGGGCAAAUGGACAAGGCACAUGAUUUGUUUCUUGAUAUGGAAGCAAAAGGUGUGGAACCCGAUUGUGUCAUAUUUAAUACGAUUAUGCUGGGUUUCAUCCGCAAUAAUGAGACAUCAAAAGUUAUUGAACUCCUUCAGCGAAUGGAUAAUAGAAAUGUAAUGCCAGACGCAUCUAUACUUUCAAUUGUUGUGGACUUGCUUGUAAAGAAUGAAAUUAGCUUAAACUCGAUUCCACAAUUCAAGAGUCAAUGAGUUUAAUGCUGAUUACUUGCAUGUUUUUUUCUGCCUAAAAUCUGGAUCUGGAGAAUCCCAUUCUUAUUACAACAUGUAAAGGAGUGUUGUCUAAUGUUGGCAUGUUCCUAGGUUCUGUCCAUGGAUUCUGUUUGCAGACAUGGCUAACUUCUUGUUCAACAGAUAAGUUUUAAAGUCUUUGAACUUAAUGUUGUAAAAUAACUUUUUUAUUAUUCAAUUCAUGAGUUUUUCUUCUAUAGCACAUCCUUCUCAUUAGCUGGAAGUGCAAAUUUUUUAGGCUUUUCCUGUAUGGCCUCUUUUUCUGUUCUAAAUAAAAUGGCAUUUUAUUUCCCUCCUGUGAGGGUACAACGUUUAUGUUUAAACUUUCUGUUAGUUAAAUUGGUUGUCUUUGAUAUAGGGAACUUCCAGUUGAACUGAUUUGUAAUUCGAGUAUAUGAGAUUACCAACUGUAAUGGGAAUUGAUGCCAAAUUAAUUAUGUCAUCAGGUUUUCCAAUCAGUGUUCAUCAUUUAUUUCUGUUAACAAUUAAUAGCACAGCUUGUCUUCGCAGCUUCAUUGGUUCCUCUCAAAAAAGUAAUGCCAGAUGCAUCUAUAGUUUCAAUCGUUGUGGACUUGUAAAGAAUGAAAUUAGUCUGAACUCACUUCCGUCAUUUCCUGUUCAAGAGCAGCAGGGGGAAGUUGAUGAGUCAAAUGUCAAGUUGUUGGAGCAUGUGCUUUCAGCCUAAAACCCUGAUCUGCAGCAUCUCAAUCAUGUUACAAAAGGACAUGUCGCCUGGUGACACCAUGUUCUCUACAGCGCUGUUAAUGGAUCCUGAUUGUUCUUGUGAUCUGGAGAGUCUCAUUCAUAAUACAGAUCUUGAUCAGGACGAGCUAGCAUAUGUGAUCACCAACUCUACAUGGUUGUUGAUGCCAAAUUAAAUAUGGUAUCAUGUUUUUCAACUUGUUAUUUUCUAUAGUCCUUCCUUUGAAUGGCCACAAGAAACUGUAAAAUCACCCUUUGUCUUGUUCCCUCUUAAUGAUCGAUCACUUUGGGAGCUAAUGAAUUAGUUGCACCUUGUCACUUUAUUGGUGCUUGAUUGUCAUUUGUACUUUGAAUUCACAGCAUAUUUUACCCUUGAUGUACUCUUUCCAUAAUCACCUUUGAGGGCUGCUAGUAUGUAUAAUUGAAAAACCUUAUAUAAAUUCUAAGCAUUUUUAUUUAACUUGUUGUAAACCUCCAGUGUAUGUCUCUUCUGUGAAAUGAUUCAUACUCUAUGCUGCUAGGACCUAGGCUUAUGACUCUUCUGUGAAAUGAUUUACCCUCACCUGCACACAGACAUUUAUCCCAAUCAAGAAAUCUUCAAACAAUGUGAAAAAAAUUGCUUGAAACACGACGCAGACUUAACCGAUUAAAAUGUCCCUACUGUGAGGAAGGAUGCUAUACAACUGACUCGGAAAAUGUAAAAUGGAUAACGUACGCCCAAGAUGAUCAACUAGAAACACAAUUCAAAACUCGGGCUGCUUUUGGCUGCCCGGCCUUCAGAAGUCAAUAUUUAUAUGAACUUUUGAGGAGAAAUUAUAUGAACUUUUGAGGAGAAAUUAUACUAAGGGUUCAGAAGUCAAUAUUUAUAUGAACUUCAGAAGUCAAUAUUUGGCUGCCCGGCCUUCAGAAGUCAAUAUUUAAAAACUUGGUGAAAUUACCGAUUAAAAUGUCCCUACUGUGAGGAAGGAUGCUAUACAACUGACUCGGAAAAUGUAAAAUGGAUAACGUACGCCCAAGAUGAUCAACCAGAAAGUGAGAGAUUAGGAUCACCAGUCAGUCAGAUUUGGAUAGAAAGUGAGAGAUUGCUAUGCCGUGCCAUUGCUUCAAUCCUAAAUGCUUUCAUCUCCCUGAAAAGUAUACAAAUGUAGGGGUUAAAACAGAAUAGAUGAAACCGUAUUGAGGAACUCAACUGAGACAGAUGAUAAAUGAAAACUAACCAACCUUCACGCAAAACUCGUACAUCUCCCUUUAAGAGCUGACUUUCUGAGAAGAGAUCACCACAAUCGUUCACAUCAAAAGUCUCCACUUGAAAAUUUUAUAACCAUAGUACUCAUUCCAUUCAAACCAGAUCCUUGAGAUCAGUUCCUUCUUCAGGCAAGUGGCAUGAUCUUCCUCUUUAGGAGACUCAGCAGCAACCAGUCUAUAUGCACAAACUUUCUUUGUUUGGCCUGGCCGGAAAGCCCUGCUGAUUGCCUGGCGGCUCACUGAUGGAUUAAAGAGAACAUCCAGAAUAAUGAUUCAAAUUUUUGUGGAAUUACUUGUAAAGAAUGAAAUUGGUUUAAACUCGAUUCCACAAUUCAAGAGACAAAACUAAGCAGACGGGUUGAAUCUUUGAUUGAGUAGCAUGUCUCUUCUGCUUUAAAAGCAGAUCUGGAGAAUCCCAUUCUUAUUACAACGUGUGAAGGAGUGUUGUGUAUUGUUGGCAUGUUCCCAGGUUCUGUUCAUGGAUUCUGUUUGCAGACAUGGCCGACUCUUUGUUUCAUCGGAUAAGUUUCAAAUAAUUCUGGCAAAUUUUUGUUGUAAAAUUACUUUUUUAUCAUUUAAUCCAUAUGCCUCUUUCUCAUUACCUGCAAGUGCAAAAUUUUUAGGCUCGUCCUAUUAGACCUCUUUUUCUUCUCUAAAUAGAUAAAACGGCAUUUCAUUUUUCUCUUGCGAGGGUGCAGGUUUAUGCUGAAACUUUCGGUUAGUUAAAUUGAUUGUCUUUGAUAUUGGAACUUGUAGUUGAACUAGUUUGCAUUUAGAAUAUAUGAGAUUACCAACUGUAACGGGAAUUGGUGCCGAAUUGAUUAUGUUAUCAGGUUUUUCAGUCUGUGCUCAUCUUUUAUUUCUGUUAAUAAUUAAUAGCACAGCUUGUCUUCUCUGCUUCUUUGGUUCCUGUCUAUUGUCAAAUAUAAACUUGUAGAGACAUUUUGUUUUGGCAUGGCACAUGCUAGAUUUUGUUUUUGGUUUGAAUGAUACUACACAUCUAAGUGAUUGUCCAGAUUUUUUUUCAUUCCUAGUGACAUGGCACUCAAUUGAAUGGUGACUCGUGAAUCAUGAUUGUGUGUGUUGGUCUUUGUUAUACUACGUGUUGGCAAGACAAAGUCUUUUGAAACUGCCAAACUUUUCUAUAUGAAUAUUGAAGACAAUAUGAUAAGAUAAAAUUAAUCAAAAACAUAUAUACUUGACAGGGCUGGAACGUCUGUUAUUAGUCCUCGCCUUCCAUUCUUGUUUCAUAUUCUUCUGCUAACAAAUCUUGAUCAUGAUAGUCUUCUCUGUUAUUAAUCCUUUUUUUUUUUUUUUUGGCUUUUGGAUUUUGUUUCCUUUAUAUAUAUAUAUAUAUAUAUAUAUAUAUAUAUAUUGUAUACAGUUAUUAGCAUCGACAACUUGAGCUUGCAGUCUUGUGAGUUUAGAGCCUACCAAAGUAAGCAUACACAUGACAAUGAAGAAUUGAAGAUUGUGAACGGUUUACUUGUGCGGCUAUGUUAGAAAAAUUUGACUGAUCGUGAAGAUAUUUAGAGAUCGUCCAUCUUGGUACUGCUAUUGUUGGAGCCUUGAAGUGUCAACUUCUCAUCGUUGCCUACAGUUGCCUCAUUGAUGAAUUGUAGGCAAACUGAAAAUUGCUUGGGAACUGUUUCAAAGUUUGCCCCGUACAGGCCUAAUGCAAAAUGUUGUAACAUAUAACAUCAUGAUUCAUGGGCUUUGUGAUGAUGGGGCAAAUGGAUAAGACACAUGAUUUAUUUCUUGAUAGACCAUUCUCAGGGCACAAAGGGUGUGGUGCCCAAUUGUGCCAUAUUUACUAUGCUUAUGCGAAAGAAUGAGACAUCAAAAUUUUCAUCACUCAAUGGAUAAAAGAAAUGUAAUGCCAGCUGCAUCUAUAGUUUCAAUUGGUGUGCGCUUACUGGUUAAGAAUGAAAUUAGUUUAAACUUGAUGCCAGAAUUCAAGAGACGGUUAAUUAGAUGAGUUGAAUGUUGAUUUAGUAGCCUUGAAGUUUUGCAAAUGUUUCCUGAUGGAUAAAUUGAACUUGUAUGCACACAUGUAAACUAAAAGAAAAAUUAUUUUAAUAGAAAACGUGCUUUAAGCAUGUCCUUCGGCAUGAGGUAAUACUAUAAAGUUUUUUUUUAAGUAAGGUUAUAAAUUCUAGCAAUUGAGUCUCAAUUUGAUAUUAUAUUCAUCUGGUAUAGGGUAGAAUAUUAAUUUUUUCAAUUAUAAAAUUUACUAUCUAAUAGAUGAACAACACUUAACAGUUGAGAAUGAAAUGGAGACUCAAUUGUUGGGAGUCCAAUCACUUUUUUCUCUUUUAACUUGCUAUUUUUGUUGUCCGAAAUUAUCUGAAGUUCCAUGCUUGCUCCAAUAGAACAAAUAAGAUAGGUUAUGAUCAACUUUUUUUUUUUCCAAAUAAAGGAACCACCUGCAUCGAUACUCCAUAAGCAAGUUUUUUCUUUUGACUGCCCCUUAUAUUUGUCACACUCCUUGUACUAGUGCCCAAUGAAACCACAACAGAAGCAAAAAUAUGGCAAUCUCUCAUAUACUACUGUAAUUGGAACAUCGUCUUCACCUUCAAGUUCUAAAUAACCAAUUUUCUUUAGUGGUUGUGUGAUAUCAAUUGAGAUACUUACUCUGGCAUACUAACCAAUGCACUCUCCUUCCACGUCCACAUCAACUUCUUCAACUAUACCAAUUGCCUCUCCCAAUGCUUUGAUUAUUUGCUGGUCUAUACACCCAACUGGGACAUUAUGAAGUUGUACCCAAAGGCAGCAUGAGUAAAUGAUUGUUUUGUUAUUUCCCCAAUUCCACUUGCCUCUUUUAGAACUAUUAGAGCUCGUUCAAAAUGCCACUGCCCACUUGAUAAAAUUCUCAUCUUAUCAACUUCAAAGGCAAAUUUAACUUAAAAAUCUUACUCCCCAGAUUUUCAAUUUCACCUAUUCUACUAUUCUGCAUACUUGUUGUAAUGCUCACUUGAGACCCUCUCUAGUAACUCCUCUUAGAUGUAAGACUUUGCCCAGAAAACAGCCCUCAACUAGCUCUCUCUCAUUCCCUUUCAUGACAUUACCAACAACUUCUUUACUCUAUUUUCCUUCUUCUAAUAUAAUAACUUUACACUUGCAAAUUAGUUCUUCUGUUUUCAUUAGGCACUAAAAUAUAAAUCCAUUGUGAUAACUCUUGAGUAUCUACCACUUCCUCUGUAAUUAAGACUCAACAACUCAAAUGAAAAACUUAAAAGUAAAAGAGACACCCAACUCGUGAGCAACUUUCGCAAUCUUAUGGGCUACUACCAUUUCAUUCUAGAUUCUCGCUCAUAGGGGGAGAACCUGUGAAGAAAGACUUCUACAGGUAGGAGACCGCUUACACAGUAGAUUAUUUAUAUUUCUUUGGACUAACUUUUUACUUUAUCAAAGACAAAAACAACAUAAACAAAGACAGAAGAUUAACAAAAGCAUCAAUUGCCAAAGAGUAGAGAGUAUUAUUAUAUUUUAGGAACAUAGGUUAUGACCAACUUAAAAGAAGCAGUUAGGGCUUGUUCAGUACUGUUUUAAAAGCCUUAUUUUCAUUUUUGUUUUGGGAGUACAAAUAUAAUACAUAUUUAGUGGGUUGAAUCCAAAAAUUAAAUCAUAAAAAAGAAUUGAUAUUCACUUUUACAGUUAUAAAAUUAAGAACCUAUUGAACAUGUUCUCAAACAAAUUACAAAUUAAAUUAAAACAUAAACCCCAAAAUAAAAUCUAAAAAGUUAUCUUCCUCUCCUAAAAUCUUAUCUCCUCCCUCUCGUUAUCUCUUCACAACUCUUCCUUCUUCAUGGUAGAUACUUCUCCUCUAACCACAACCCACCUGAACUGUGCACCGAUCUCUCUCUCCCCAUCCCCUUUAUCUAGGUCUACUUCACAGUUCUCUUCCUCUCAGUGGCUGUUACUUGUUCAUCAACCGCAAUCCAUCGUCGUAAGGUACUACGUCGGAAUAUUUUACCAAAAACAUGUCAAGACAAAGUGAUGUCUAUCAUGGUUUAUUACUGCAAGUGCAUUAUUUUCUUUGUACUAAAGUGAAUCUUUGAUGUAUUUAUUAAAUUUGGUGGAGCAAUCUUAGUUAAUUUUGAUGAUUUAUAUAUGCAUUUAAUUUCAUUUUUAAUAAUUCAUGUGCAGGAAAUAUGGAUUCUUGGCUUUGCUUGGACUGAUGGUUUGGGCAAUUUCAUUUGGAAUCAAUCAACUUCGAGGAUAAACACUUGUAGUUCAUCCUUUGUUCUCUAAUUUUGUUCAUGGGACUUGCUUUUCUUCCAUCCAACUUUUUUGUUCUCUAUUUCUAUGGUAGCAGUUUUAUGUUUUGUGUUGGUGGGAAACUUCAUGCUGCAAUUUUGUCAAAUUCUGUUGACAUACCCUAAUCAGUAAUGACUUUGCUGCAUGGCGAAAGCAUAAGCUCAUAGUUGACAUUGUUGUCAUUAGAGCUUGUUUCCAUAAAAAAAAAGUGUAAUUUGAAAGUACAUUGUACACUAUUGAAUUUGAAUUAUCUCCAACAAGUGUUGAUGCAUGAUGUCCAUCAUGUAAUUUUUUUAUAAUUAUUUUGUUUAACUUAUAUGUGUUGUAAUAUAUAGCUUAAUUAUAGUGUAAAAACAAUGGCAAUGUAAUUUUUUUAUUAAUGCUAAUACUAAAACUUUAUCAUCAUGCAAUGUUUUAUAAUUAUUUUGAUUAAAUUAUUUAUGGUAUAUUUUUGUAUUAAUUAAAUAAACAAUUAGUUUUUAUUAAAAAAAUUAUGACUUACAUGUUUAGUAAAAAUUGUUCAUGAAAAUAGUAUUACCGAACACAUUUUCUCUGUGUUUAUCUUUUUCAAUUGUGUUUACGGAACACAUGUUACUGUUUUCAAUUUAGAAAAUACAAGAUAUAGAAAAUGAUAUUAGAUGUCUAUUUAAUUCAAAAUGCAGCAACUGCAAAACACUAUUUUUACUCUCAUUUUUCUUUUUAGAAAAUACUAAUUUAGAAACAAUACCAAACAAGAACUUAGUUUUAGUACGAAUAAUGUUGUGUUAGUUUUAUAGGUUUACAUGCACCCUUAGAUUUAUUAGAAGUAUCAGCCCAACCCCCUAGUUACUGUUGACUAAUAUCGAACCCGCUGCCCGAUGUUGACUCUUGAAAGUAACUAUAACAUCUAUAUUGUAAUCUCACUUUAUUAACUAAUAAAUUUUAAAAAUAUAAACAGAUCAAUAAUAACAAAAUAAUUAAAGUUGAAAUCCAAGAAAUUACACAAAAAACCACACCUAAACCAAACCUGAAAACCAAAAUGCAUAAAAUUUCAUUAAUUUAGGUUGUGACAAUGAGUCGUCUACAUUAUAUGAUGAAGGAACAACUUCUAUCAUUUUACCAAGUUAUUAAUACUAUGUUUACGUACUAGAGUGGGCCUGAGAAGUAUAGAUUCCUCACACACUAGAGUUUACUUGCAUAUUCUAAGAGGUGUGGGAAUCUCACUCCGUUGAUCCCACCCAAUUUUGAAGUAGGGAGUGUGAUUUCCACUCCCACAAGGGAAGGUCCACUCCCACAACUUUAUUUUUUACCUUUCUUUUAUUAAAUUUAAUACAAUCAUAUUUAGUAAAAUAAAACAAAUAACAUCAUAUUUAUUUAAUAAAUAUUAUUAUAUUAUUUUAUAAAAUUCUAUUUAUUAAAAAGAAUAAUAUUAAUCUUAUUUAGAUAAAGUUAUUAUUAUAUUUAUUUAAAAAUAAUAGCAUUAUAUUUAUUUAAUAUUAAUAAUUAAUAUUAAUAAAUAGUUUAUUCUAAGAAAAUAUUUAUUUUGCACUAUAUUAUUAAUAAGAGAUAUUAUCAUUUUUCCACCAAAAUUAUUCUGAUACAUCAUGUUAGUAGCACGGUUUGGUAAAAACAUCAUUUUACCACCAAACGUUUAAAUUGUUAGUAUUUUUCCACAAUUCCGUUAAAACUCAGUUAAUAUUUAAUGGAAAAUGCAUAAAAAGUCAAUUUUACCCCUGGAGCAUAAAAGAUAAUUUUACCCUUUAAAAAGGAAGAACGACAAAAGAUGAUUUAAUUACAAAAUUACCCCCAAAAGACGACAAGACAAUUUUACCCUUUAAAAAGGGAGAACAACAAAAGACGAUUUAAUUACAAAAUUACCCCCAAAAGACGACACUGCUGCGAGAGUGAGAGAGAUAUGGGUCAGUGACAGUAAGCGAGAGAGGACGAAGAUGGAACAAGAAACGAGAGAGAGGGGGGUUGAUUUCGAUUUUUAGGGCUUCCAUAUCCAAAUUGCUUGUUUUUUUACAAUUGCAAAACACAACGUUUUGCCUUCGCAUGAGAUGUCCAAAAUGCCCUUAUGAUGUCAACAUAAUUUUUAUUUAGUUAACGGAAUGGUGGGAAAAUACUAACAGUAUAAAUGUUUGGUGGUAAAAUGAUGUUUUUAUAAAAUCGUAGUACUGAAAUGAUGUAUCAGAAUAACUUUGGUGGGAAAAUGAUAAUAUCCCUAUUAAUAAUAAUGUUUUAUUUGUGUUGCUCUUAUCAAUAAUUUUUAAUUUAAAUAAUUAAAAUUAAAACUAAUAAAAAUUUAUGAUUUACAUAAUUAAUAAUAUUAAUAAUUAUUGUUAAUUUACAAAUAUAGUGAAAUAAUAUAUUUUAUUUCAAAUAUAUUUUUUUAUUAAUUUUGUAAUUAAAAGGUACAAUUCUUUAAAUAAGUGUAAAACCGUAAUUUGAAACCAUUUACUCCCUUCUCAUUCUAGUGAGAGGAAACAACUUGCUCCCACUCCACACUCUUAAUCACAAGAUUCUCACUUCUCAAUAUUCCCACUAUAAUUUAAAAUGUAAACACCGUUUAAAACAUCAAAUAAAAUUCUCAAUUAAGUAAACCAUAAUGUGAUUGCAUAUAAAAAAAAAUUAAUAAUAUUAAUUUUCAUAAGAAUUUAUGCUCGUAGUAUUACUUUACUUUUUAUUAACCGUUGCUUCAACUUAUGGUAGAUUGUAACAUAUGCACUUUAAUUUUCUUAAUUAAGUGUAUUAUUUAAUUUUUCUCAUUCGAUGUUAAUUUUAAAUUUGUUUUGACAUAAAAUUGAGACAAUUCGAAUACGAUUCAAUGGCCGUGUAGCUGGAUUUUAUUUCAACAUGGGUCAGGCAUUAGCUUAGUUAGUAGUAAUCUUUAAAAAAAAAAGCUAGUUUAUAUAAAUGGAAAAGGGGGAGCUGAUUUCCAAAAGAGGAAAGAAAGAGGGGCACGCGAGAGAAAAUGAGAGAGAGAGAGAGAGAAGUUGACCCGUUUAGCCCGACCCGACCCGACCCACAAGACCGACCCGGCUCCAACUCCCGUUUCUGGCCACCAUUCCAAUCAAGCUUGGUACCAAUCUGAAGCUUGAGCGACGCUGGCCAUAUCCCCGCUGUCAUCGUCACCGAAAAACAGCCACAACGCCGGUGAUCAUCGUCAAUCUCGCUGGAAUUAGGUUGCACCACCGGCUGGGUUCGACUCCUCACAUCACCAGCUUUCAUUUCCGACUAACCCCGCCACCUGAAACCUCUGUUUUGGCCCUGAAUGACCACCGGAAAGCUCACGGCUUUGGGAGCACGAUCCGCCGCCAUCUCCGCGUGUGGGAGGUCACCGUCGACGCCAUUGGGCUCACCGAGGUUAGAACUAUCAUACUUGAGCUUUCCGUCGCCGUUGACUGAAGUCCGGUCACCGUUGAGCAGUGGGGGCAAUUUGGUAAUUUCACAAGACUUUAAGGUGGAUUUUUAAUUUGGUAAUUUUAGGUUAGGGCAGUGAGGUAAUUUAAGACUUUGAGGGUAAUUCGGUAAUUUAAGUUAUUAAGAGCAUUUUGGUAAUUUCGCACUUUGAGGGUAAUUUCUUAAAUUCAAAACUUGUGAUUAAUUUUGUUAUCCGAAUUGAGGACAAUUUGGUAGUUUAAGAUAUUGAAGAUGAUUCGAUAAAUUAUGAUUCCGAUGGUACUUCGGUAAAUUUCGGUGUCAGGGGCAUUUUGGUAAUUUUUGGACAUAAGGGUAAUUUUGAAAUUUUAUGUAUCCGGGAGUUUGGUUUUGAGCUUUAUUUCAUACUGUUAGUCGUAUUUCAUGAUACAGAUAAUAAUUAUGUCGUUUAUUUAAUUAGGAGGACUCGCGAGCAAAAAUCAACCAGCGGACGUUAGUGAUACCGAGUCUGGACAUCGUCACUGUGAGUGGAAUAUACAAAACUUAUUUUCAUGGUAUAUUCUGAUUUUACCAUACAGUACAACAUGUUUUGAUAAUAAGUAUUUGAUGCUUUGAUUUAAUGAUUUUCUAGAAAUUUGAUUUUCAUUCUACGUGCUGAUAUUUAUUAUUAUUGAAAAUGAGUUUGAUUAAUGAUUUUAUUAUCAUUUUUUUUGAGUAAAUGCAUGAUAUUAGAAUUGAGUGGAUUUGAGAUAUGUUGAAUAAAAAGGAAAUGGGAUUUUAUAUGUGAUUAUAUGUUUGCGUGCAUGUGCAUAAAAGAUUGUUUGGAAAAUCAUUGGAAGUACCUUUCCCCUUUUAGAUACAGAGAUACAUAUAAUAUGAGAUGAAUACAGUGAUACAGAUGAUAUGAGAUGAGAGGUUUUUGGGGCCCGUCUGAACACACACAAAGACUUUGGGCCGUGUGUUUGGGCGCUUUUGCCUUUUGGGGGCUUAUGCAUACAGUAUGAUGAUUACAUAAAUACAGAUGUUGAGAUACAUGAGAUAUGAGAUGACAUUUUCCUAUAUAUCCAUUGUAACUCCAGGGCAUGAUGGUUCCCUGAUUGUCCGUCCGUUGAGGUCCGAAUAUGAUGAGAUUAUUCCGCUGGAUACUUGUUUGAUGAUAGUUUUUUGUAUCUAGUAUUUGAUAUUAUAAGUAUUAUGAUUUCAUUGAUUUUAUGCAGAUUUAUGUAAUAUUGUUAUUUCAGUGCAUGAAUUAAAUUAAAUAAGUUUAUGUAAGUUCUUAUGAUAUUUUGAUGAAAUUAACUUGGAAAAGAUUAAAUCAUUUUAAAUAAAUUUAUUUUUCCAAAAACUACUAUCCACUCACUGAGCUCACUGAGUUUUAUAUUCACCCCGUUUUUAUUAUAUUUUUCCUCCUAUAGGAAAUUUGCAGGUACAUCAGUCGACCCAGCAACGAUAGUUAGAUUGAAAUUAUGGCCACGUGAUGGUGUUAGAAAUCAUAGAUGUUUUGUUGGGACAUGUUGAAUUGUAUAAUUUAUUACUUAUUUGUGAUUAAGGAUAAAUCAUUAUAUUCUUGACAUUAUAUGAUUGAAGGAUACUGAUAUUUAAAUUGAGGAAGUUGGUUGUGGAUGUUGAUUAAAUAUUGUAUUAUUUUUUGGAGUAUUAAUUGUAUAAAUUGUAGGUUUGGGGAUGUCAUAAUUAUAUAGAAAACUGUCGAAUUUUUUGUAAAAUUCUUAGAUAUCAGAAUUAUUAUUAGUUUGAUUAGGCGAGAUUAGAUAGACUCGUCCUGGGGAUUCGGGGCGGGUCGUUUCAUAGAUAUUAAGAGAACAAUAAUAAUAUAGCUAUAAAUGGUUGCAUACUAUCAAUCAACUUAACACUAUAAUUACCAACAAAUCCUUAAUACUAUAAAUAAUUAAAUUAUUGGGGUUUUAAAAUAACUCUCCAAACUUUGCAUGAUUUCUUUAUAUGUAGGUGCCAUGGUUCCUAUAAGUAAUAUCAGCCACACUUUUUGUUAUUGUUAAAACAAAUUUAUAAGUACAAUUUGUGAAUUUGUACAAAAUGUGGUAUUAUACAUUUGAAGCAUGAACCGAGAAGACAAUGUUGUGUCACUAAUAAAGAAAAAAAAAUUGUAUAAAAUACAGAUGUUGUAGUGUAACUUGUAUUCUUUUUAUUUAUAAUUGUACCUAUCAUGUGAUUAUAAAAAAAACUGAGAUUUUAAAAUUUUGUAAUUGCACUAUUUUUGGAUUAUCAGAAGGCUUCCUCUCCUUAGUGAUGCCCUUAAUCCAUAAAUGGUCCAAAAAAUAAUUCAUGAAAUGAAUUUAUUAUUUUAGAUAAGUUUCAAGUACGCAUACCUUUACUAGCUCCAUAUUGCAUAACUCCUCAUUUCAAUCAAUGGAUACAUUUGUUUACUUUUUCUUUCUUGUAAAUUUUUGAAUGGCCACAAUUCUAUAGAUAAUUAAUUAAGUGUUAUUGUUAUCAUUAUUUUGUAGAUUUAUAUGUGAGGUGGGGACGUUGGGGGGCAUGUAUCUCAAUAUAGCAGAGGGCCAUAAUAUUUAUUCUUUAAGAGGAACCACAACCAACAUCAAUGCUUUAAGUUCCAUUCCAUGUUCCUUCUAUGCACCAGAUUGCAUAAACAACAUUGAUUAUCCAAGGUCAAAGUCUCUCAAAGACUCUAGUUACAAUACAAAGCAUGGGUUAGCGGCCAAAAUUUUCUUGCAAUGAAAGGCUCGUAAACUGAUGAUAGCUGUUGGAUGGUUUUGGGCCCCAAUGGUUUUAAUAUUAUUCUCUUAAAAACAUAUAUGUUGAUUAGAGACGAGAGGAAAAAUAUAAUCUGAUUCAGCAAGCUGCAGAGGAAAGAGCACGCAGUGGAGUUCAGAUUUUGAAUUCUCUUGUUAAAUUGUUUUUAAUUUACUACAAGGUAGAAUACGUUGCAGUGUUAAAAAAACACUUUGAACAUCCUAUUUUUGUAUUACAAAUAUACCAAGAUUUAAAUUAUUAUUUUUCUUUAUUAGUAUAAACUAAAUUUUGCCUGAAUUCUCAUCCUUGUAAGUGGAAUUUUAUUGUGAAACUAAUAGUCAUUCCUAGUUGAACUAUCACUUUGAACAUAUGUGUCCUCUCUAAUAACAGCUUCCAAACCUGCAGCUACCUGCUUCUCAGCAUUAGAAGUAGCCAUAAUUAGGAGGAGGGCAAACUUCCAAAUAACAUUCCAAAUGGUAUUGUGAAAAAAUUUCACCCUUUUGGUAAUAAAAAAUAACCUUAUUUCUAACUUUCUAUUAACAAUCUUACCACAAAGUUCUCUCUCAAGUAGAAACAUUAUAUAUAUAUAUUAAUUUUUUGUUAAAAUAAACAAAACCAGUGGCGGAUCUACAGCUGGGCUAGGUCUAGAAAAAAUCAUUUAAACCCCUUGUCUUUUGAUUCAUUUUACAUAAGGAUAGACUUUUUAUUUUAUUUUUAUAUAAGUCCCCAAUUCAGUUACAAUUAUGUUUUUGUCAAAUUUCAUAGAAUAAUAGAGUUUUUACUUUAUUUUCAAAUAUUUCCUUAACUCAAUUAUAUUUUUUUCCCAACUGAAAUUAAUGACUUAUUUUAUAAAAUAAUUAAAUUAUAUAUUUAUUGAAUAGAUUGAAAACAUUAGGGGUUUAAAAUGUUAUUUUUAAUUUGUUUUUAAAAAAUUUAAUUUAACAAAGUAUGUGAAUGUAAUAUAACAUCGUCACUAUUAUUAAAAAUACUAAAAACAUAUAUAAUAAAAAUUAUUCAUAAAUUCAUAAAUUUUUUAUGUAAAUGUUAACAUUUUAUUUAUUAUUUACAUUAACUUAGAGGAUAAGUUAGAAAGUAAAAUUUGAGUAUUUUAAUCUGAUUUUUUAAAGAGAGUCAGAGUGUCUGGCAAAGAAAUAACGGCACGCAAGUACCUUUUUGCUAGGUUAGAGUUUAGUUUAUUAUUGAAACUCUUGACGACUAAUAUUUUUAUAAUUUAAAAAGAUGAAUAGAUUUUAAUUGUUUAAUUUAUUUAAGCUUGGUAACUAAGGUGGCAUUUGUUUUUUAACUUAAUGACUUAAAGUGACUUAACUUAAUUAAUUAAGUUAAUUAGAAGUGUUUGUUUUUAUAACUUAGACUUUUUAGAUAAUUUUGACUUAAUAAAAUAAGUCAAUUUUUUUGGCUUUUUACUUAAUGGAGAAAUUUGAAUUAAGUCAAUUACUUACUAAUGUCAAAAAUAUCCAUGUUUUAUAAUUUAUUUUUCAUAUCUAUCCCAAAACUCACCCAUAGAACAUUUACCCCACAUAAAAAUAUCCUUAUUUUUUAUUUCUUAUAUUAUAUACGAUAAAAUUUGAAAUUUAUGGUAUUUUAUAUAUUGAAAUUCUAAAAUAAUUAUGUAUUCACUUGAAUAUAGUUUUACUUAUAAAUGUUAAAAUAUUGUGGUAUUUAAUAUAUUAUUUAUUUGACAUUCAAAUUUAAUAAGGAUACGAAUGUAAAAGUACAUAUUUUUAGCUUUUUCAGUUGAAAAAAACAAACAACUCAAUACUUAUUUUCCGAGAUUCAAACGAAAAAACAAACAUAUUAUUCAGAUUCAGACAUACAGAUCUAUUCAGAAUUCAGACUAAUUCAGGUCUAUUCAGAUUUCAGACAAAAAAACAAACGCCACCUAAGUAUUUUUCAAACAUAAAGUUGUACUUGCACUUUUUAAAUGAUUAUAAUUACAUUUAUUGACUUAUUCUAAUUUAAAAUUCUUAAUAGAUUUAUUAAUUCUUAUAUAAUUAGAUGUUAUUAUAGGUUGCAAUGUUAGAUUUAAUAAUUAAAAAUAGUAUUUUUAUAUUUGAAUUAUCUUUUGUUUUUUAGUAUUUUUGUACAAUUAUUUUUGUUUAGAGUAUAUAUUCGUAGAGUUUUUCGUGUCCCCAUUAUUUGAUGUACUUCUUUUUACUUAUGAAUAUUUAUGUUCACUUCAAAAUAUAAAAUUUUAAAUUUAGCCCGGGGUAAUAUAAAUUCUUAGGUCCGCCCCUAAGCAAAACUAAAUAUUUAUGACUUAAAAGAUAGGUGUUGAACAGAGGCAGUCUCACAGAAAAAAAAAAAAAAAGUAUUUGAAAGCAGUGGUGAUAUCAUAAUUUUUUGUAUUGAUAUGAGAGUAUCAUACUAGAUUUUUUUCCGCAAUACAAAAAGUUUGUAUUCAAGAAUAAAUAAGCAAUUUCGGGAACAAAUUUUACAAAAAGCCUCGAGGCCAUGUCGUAUGAAUUUGUGAUACCAAAAAUAGUAUACUAGUCAAUAUAUCUUCUUUCCACAUUACAAAAAAUUAGAAAUGCAAUCUAAAUCGAUAUCAAUUAAUAAUUUUAUAGUACACGAAAUCAAGGUAUUUUUUCAUAAUUUAAGAAAUUAUUAGUCAUUUACCCUAAAUUUACUUUGUCUCCAAAAAUACUACGAAAACUUUAACUUGUUUAGUUUUUUACCUUAAUUUAUAAUUUAUAUCAAUCGCUCACUAAAAAGAUAAAAUUAGCUCAUAAAAUGACAAAAUAAAAACAAACACAAAUGACAAUACCAGUAAUUUUAUAAGGAUAAUAAAGUCCUUUUGGCACCAAAUUACGUAUUAAAAUAAUUUAAAUAUUAUAAAUUAUUUUCAGAUUGAGUGAGGAACCCUGGUCAUUUUAACAAUUAUGGUCAUUUAAUCUAUCUAAACAUGAUAUUUCAAGUAGACUUAUGUUUGCGUGGGAGGAUAAUGUAAAAAAAGUGGCACUUUUAUUCAACUGAAUAAAUUUCACAAUUUAAAUUAGAAAAGGAUAAAAUUUAAUAAUUAACUAUUUUUUUAACUAAUUCAAUCGGGAGCCAUUAUUUGUAGGCUGUAGCGGUCCCAAAAGCAUGACAUUAUUGUGAGUAAUGUAUCCUACUUGCAAAAUAAACGGCAGAAUGCGGUUUGGGGACGGAUUAUCGAGGUAUUUGUUAAUAUUCGGAAAUGAGAAGAAAAGGUCAAAUAAAAUUUUAACUUAUUAUUAUUAUUAUUAAAGAUUGUAACUCAGAUGAUUAGACAAAUAAAGGAACUUAAGGCCACUUGGCGGCUUCACUAGGAGCUGUUUGAGUUUAAUUCUAUUGGUAAAAUUCUAUUUUGGUAAUUCUAUUCUUCUUCUUUUCAACCCCAAAUAAUCAAAAGCUCUCCAAUGGCUUUCGUAUCCACAACUCGUCCAUUUCAUUUUACUUCAAUUUCAGUAUCAGCUCUUAGAUGUAAUUUCUCAUCUUCGUUCCCUCAUACCAGAAAACCCACAUCUUCAAUUUCGGAAAAUGAACCCUCAUAUCCGACUACAACAGCUAAACUGAAGGAGUCGCUACGACUGACAGUCAAAGACGGAGCCUCACUCGAAAAAUUUCUUAAAGAAAGGUGCAAAUCAUCAGGUCAAGGUGAUAUUAAUCUUAUUACUCCUAAUGAAGCCUUGUGUAUCUUUGAUUACAUGCUCCGUAUGCACCCUUCUCCGCCUCCUGUCUCUUCCUUCAAUAUUUUGUUUGGUUGUCUUGCUAAGAAUAAACAUUAUGAUACUGUCCUUUCACUCUUCAAGAGACUCAAUUCAAUUGGGUUGUUUCCAGAUCUUUAUACUUAUAGUAUCUUGAUUAACUGCUUUUGCAAAAUGGGUCGAGUUUCUCCUGGUUUUGUUGUUCUUGGGAGAAUCCUCAGGUCUUGUUUUACUCCAAAUGCUGUGACCUUUACUUCUUUGAUUAAAGGUUUGUGUGCGGAGGGUAGAAUCAUGGAGGCCGCUGCAUUGUUUAUGAAACUUAGAGUGUUUGGUUGUGAGCCUAAUGUUUUUACAUACAAUACUUUGAUUAAUGGAUUGUGUCGAACUGGCCAUACAAUUGUUGCUCUAAAUUUAUUUGAAGAGAUGGCUAAUGGAAAUGGGGAAUUUGGUGUUGUUUGUAAGCCAAACACUGUUACAUACACUACUAUUAUCGAUGGUCUUUGUAAGGAAGGUUUUGUGGACAAGGCCAAGGAACUGUUUCUGAAGAUGAAGGAUGAGAAUAUUAACCCCAAUGUGGUUACUUAUAACUCUUUGAUUCACGGUUUUUGUUACGCUAAUGAUUGGAAUGAGGCGAAGUGUUUGUUUAUUGAGAUGAUGGACCAAGGGGUACAGCCGAAUGUUGUGUCUUUUAAUGUGAUCAUGAAUGAGCUUUGUAAAAAUGGGAAGAUGGACGAAGCAAGUAGGCUGUUAGAAUUGAUGAUUCAGAUUGGUGUGCGUCCAAAUGCUUUUGUCUAUAACACAUUAAUGGACGGGUUUUGUUUGACAGGUAGAGUUAAUCGUGCGAAGGAACUAUUUGUUUCUAUGGAGAGUAUGGGUUGCAAACAUAAUGUUUUUAGUUACAGUAUUUUGAUAAAUGGUUACUGCAAGAAUAAGGAAAUAGAGGGAGCGUUAAGCCUUUAUAGCGAAAUGCUCUCUAAAGGUAUUAAGCCAGAUGUUGUUAUAUAUAACACCUUGUUUAUUGGCCUUUUUGAAAUACACCAGGUUGAGCGUGCUUUCAAGCUGUUUGAUGAGAUGCAACGUCAUGGCGUGGCAGCUGAUACCUGGGCGUAUAGAACCUUUAUUGAUGGGCUCUGCAAGAAUGGUUAUAUUGUAGAGGCAGUUGAACUAUUUCGUACUUUGAGAAUUCUCAAGUAUGAACUUGAUAUUCGAGCCUACAACUGCCUCAUUGAUGGAUUAUGUAAAUCCGGCAGACUCAAAAUUGCAUGGGAACUAUUUCGUAGUUUGCCUCGUGGAGUCCUAAUAGCAGAUGUUGUAACAUAUAACAUCAUGAUCCACGCGCUUUGUGCUGAUGGAAAAAUGGACAAGGCACGUGAUUUGUUUCUGGAUAUGGAAGCAAAAGGUGUAGCACCCAAUUGUGUCACAUUUAACACGCUGAUGCUAAGUUGCAUCCGCAAUAAUGAGACAUCAAAAGUUGUUGAACUCCUUCACAGAAUGGAUGAGAGAAAUGUAAUACCAGAUGCAUCUACACUUUCAAUUGUUGUGGACUUACUUGUAAAGAAUGAAAUUAGCUUAAACUCGAUUCCACAAUUCAAGAGUCAAAGGUAAGUGAGUUUAAUAUUGAUUUAGUCGCAUGUUUCUUCUGCCUGAAAACCCGAUCUGGAGGAUCCCAUUCUUAUUAACACAUGUAAAGGAGUGUUGUCUAAUGUUGGCAUGUUCCUAGGUUCUGUCCAUGGAUUCUGUUUGCGGACAUGGCUAACUUCUUGUCCAACAGAUAAGUUUUAAAGUCUUUCAACUUUAUGUUGUAAAAUAACAUUUUUAUUAUUCAAUUCAUGAGUUUUCCUUCUGUAUCACAUACUUCUCAUUAGCUGGAAGCGCAAAUUUUUUAGGCUUUUCCUGUAUGGCCUCUUUUUCUGCUCUAAAUAAAAUGGCAUUUUAUUUCUCUCUUGUGAGGGUACAAGGUUUAUGUUUAAACUUUCUGUUAGUUAAUUUGGUUGUCUUUGAUAUAGGGAACUUCCAGUUGAACUGAUUUGUAAUUCGAGUAUAUGAGAUUACCAACUGUAUUGGGAAUUGAUGCCAAAUUAAUUAUGUCAUCAGGUUUUUCAAUCAGUGUUCAUCAUUUAUUUCUGUUAACAAUUAAUAGCACAGCUUGACUUCUCAGCUUCAUUGGUUCCUCUCAAAAAUAAUCUUGUAAAGACAAUCUUUCUUGGGCAUGGAAAAUGCUAGAUUGUUACAUGGCAUUCAAUUGAAUGAGGACUCAUGAUUGUGUGUAUUGGUAUUUGUUAUACUAUGUAUUGGCAAGACAAAGUUUCUUGAAACUGACAAACUUUUCUCUAUGAAGAUUGAAGAAAAUAUGAUAAGAUAAAAUUUAUCAAAAGCAUAUAUGCUUGCCAGGGAUGGACCUUUGAUUAUUAGUCCUCGCCUUUCGUGCUUGUCUGUUCUGUGAAAUAAUUCAUUCUCCAUGCUGCUAGGGCCUAGGCUUAUGACUCUUCUUUGAAAUAAUUCAUUCCCCACAAUGUGAAAAAAAUGCUUGAAACACGACACAGACUUAACUGUUUACAGGAAAAGCGGCAGAAACUUGUGAAAUUACCGAUUAAAAAGUACCUACCAUGAGGAAGAUGCUAUACAACUCACUCGGAAAAUGUAAAAUGGUUAACAGACAUCCAAGAUGAUCAACCAGAAACACAAUUCAGAACAUGGGCUGCUUUUGGUUACCCGGCUUUCAGAUUAGGAGAUUAGGAUCCUAAAUGCUUUGAUCUACCUGAAAAGUAUACAAAUAUCAGAGUUAAAACAGAGCAGAUGAAAACGUAUUGAUGAACUCAACUGAGAUAAAUGACAAGAAAACUAACUUUUCCUGUACAAAACUCGCACACCUUCCUUUAAGAGCUGACUUUCCAAGAAGAGAUCACCACAAUCGUUCACAUCAACAGUCUCCACUUGAAAAUUUUUAUAACCACAAUAGUCAUUCCAUUCAAACCACAUCCUUGAGAUCAGUUCCUUCUUCAAGCAAGUAGGAUGGUCUUCCUCUUGAGGAGGCUCAGCAGCAACCAAUCUAUAUGCAUAAACUUUCUUUGUUUGGCCUGGCCGGAAAGGCCUGCCGAUUGCUUGGCGGGUUUCUGAUGGAGUAAAGGUAACAUCCAGAAUAAUGAUCCAAAUUUUUGUGGACUUACAUGCAAAGAAUGAAAUUGGUUUAAACUCGAUUCCACAAUUCAAGAGUUAAUGAGUUUAUCUUGAUUCUGUAGCAUGUCUCUUCUGCUUUAAAACCAGAUCUGGGGAAUCCCAUUCUCAUUACAACAUGUGAAGGAGUGUUUGUGUAUUGUUGGCAUGUUCCCAGGUUCUGUUCACGGAUUCUGUUUGCAGACAUGGCUAACUCCUCGUUUCAUCAGAUAAGUUUCAAAGUCUGGCAACUUUUUGUUGUAAAAAUAACUAUUUCAUUAUUCAAUUCAUGAGUUUUCCUUCUAUGGUGCAUUUUUCUCAUUAGCUGUAGUUUCAAAAUUCGAGCGAAUUUGAAGAAACUGCAAAAGACUACAAAGCAAAUGGUGUAGAGCACCUUUCACUUAUCACGGGCACAGGAUUACUCUGACUUUCUGCAUUUUACUGUUGGCUAUGGUUUGAUGCAUUAUUUAUUGUUCUGAAAUACCAUUCUCGUUGGAAGUUCAAUCAUUACUGUUUCUUUUUUCCCCCCUUUUUACUUGAAGUUACCUGAAGCUCCAAUCGAACGAGUAAUGUAAUGUAGGUGUUGACCAACUCCAAAUAAGUAGUUAGUUGCCUAGUAGUUGCUUUGCAUGAAAUAUGUUUUUGGUAUGAAUAAUGUUGUCUUAAUUUUACAAGCUUCCAUGGAACUCCUAAUUUGUUGGAAGUAUUAACUCAACCCGUCAUUUAAGGUUAGAUUUAACCAUUGACUUAUGUUGACUAUUAAAAGUAUUAUAAUAUUCUAUAAAUAUAACGAAACCCCCCUUUAUUAACAAAUAUAAUUUAAAAUAUAAAAAAUUAAUAAUAAAAAAUAACAAAGUUGAAAUCCAAGGAGCAACUUCUAUCCCCUAACCAAGUUAUUAAAUAUUAGAGUAGAUAGAGGCAUAUACUUUUCUUCAUGAUUCAGAAUCAUAUCUCAAAUAAAAUUCUCAAUGAUUGCAGGCCUCAAUACCAUUAAGAUGAACUAGACUAUCAUGAAAUUUUGUGCAUCUUGCAAGGUCCAAUUUCUCCAAGUUUAUCAUCAAGCCAAAAAAUGUCAUAAUUCCUUUUAUAGUAAUUUCAUAGUGUUUACUAAACGGUAAUAGAAAUGGACUGAAACACAAAUAGGGAAUGCAAGUUAGAAUAAGGAUGGCAAUGGUGAGGGGGGAGGGGACCAACAUCCUUGUACCCAUCCCUGAUGUUCUGUAUAUGUCCCCAUCCCCUUCCCGUCCCCAUCAAAAUUACUUAAGGGAAUUCACGUCCUCCCUCUGAAUAAUAACAGGGAAUCCCCAAAGGUCCCCGAUCCCCAAAUAACUGAUAUAUUUGUUUAGUUUUCAAACUUAAUUUAAUCAUAUUAAGCUAAAAAUAUAUAAAAUAAAAUGAAAAUGAUCAUGAAUGCGCCUUAUAUUUCAUUCAACUUGGUAUAUAUAAUAUUCAAAUAAUGAUUUUCAAAAAAAAAUUCAAAUAAUGUGAUUUUUAUACAAUAUUGACGUGAUUGUUGUCCAUGAGUAACGAUACCUACUGAUCACCGACUAUGAUGCAACAAAGCCGCAUGUGUGGCUGCUAGUUGACAUUGCGAUGAGUUAGUGUAACCCCCACUUUUAUUUAUUUAUUUUUUUCCUCUUUUGCCCUUAUUAAACUGAGUAGGAUAGUUAUUAUUGAGUGUUUGUGUGUGAGUAAAAUUUAUCGGAUUGUUUUAAAUAAGUUACGUAAGUUAUUUUUUUUAAAAAAAAAUAUUUAUUAAUUACCAAGUAUUUAAGAGAAAACCAUAUUUUUAAGAAGCCGUUUUUUAUUUUUCUUACACCGUUACAAACCCUAGAAAGAAAAGAAAGAAAUAUAAGUCUUUGCAAAAGGAAAAGAAAGUUUUAUCACUUCUUUUCUUAGUGUUUGCUUUAAGGUAUUAAGUAUUUCUUCGACUUAUAUGAUUUAUUUUUAUGAAAUUGUUUGCAUUUAAUUACUUGUAGUAUGAAUUGGGUAAUAUAUGUGUUUGUAAUGUUGUGAUGAUAUGAACAGUCUCUAUUCCUUGCUUGAAAUCGUUUUCUUUAUUUAGAAUCACGUGAAUAUCUUACAUAUCAUGGAACUAGACAUCCUAGGCUUUCCAUUGAUAGGUUUUGUGUUGAAAUCGCCUGAGAAUGCAAAUUCUUAUGGGUUUUCGAAGUUGGGUUACUGGUGCUGGAAAAUUCCGAUUUUCAGCAGCGGUUCUCAACUCUGGAAAUUUUUCUAUAAGGUUACACAUCCUUAAAAAUUAUGCUGAUUUUUGUGCCAACAGAUCUAUGUCUCCUAUGCUUGCAUGUUUAAUUUCGUAGUUUUAUUCUUUAUGGUUGAAUUAUUAAAAAUCGUAACAUAUGGCUGCUGCAAAUCUGGAGACUGUUAUCCAGAAUUUCAGAAGCUGAAACGUGUAACAGUUGAGCUAGUUUAUGAAUAUUACAUGCCAUGUUAGGAUUUUAUAAUGAAAUUUCAAUCUUUCCUCUGUCUUUAAAAACUGGAAUCGCGAUUUUUGGGGAUGUAAAAUAAAAGAUACGAAUUUUUGAAAUUCUGUUUUCAAAUCUGGAAUUUUCUGGACGGGUUAGAUGUUCUCGGAAAUAAAACGUUUUAAAAUAGUCUCAGGAGUCCAAAAAUUAUGAAUUUUAAUUAUAUGCUUUUUGAAUGUGUCUUCUGUAAUUAGAAAAAAAGAUAGCAUAUUACUUCGAGUACCAAAGAAUAUUUUAUGAAUUUUCUAAGUGGAAAAGGUCUGUUUUGGUCAGUGCUGGACAGUUUUGUUACUUUGGUGAAAGGUCAAUAUUCUGACUCGAUUUUGACUUGUGCUGAUUUUUGUGAAAUAUUGUAUGCAAUGCUAUACAUGUUCACAGUGCCUCUGUAAAUUUUCAUGGUUUUCCGACAUGUGUAUAGGUUAUUAAAAAUCAUCAUGUGCAGGAUACUCAUAAGUAUAGGAUAUGUUUAGAAUAUGUAUAAGUAUUAAGCUAGUAUUAGUGUCUAUGAUUUAAGGAUGAUUGGGAUUAUAUUUAAGGUUAGAGAUGAUAUUGAUAAGAAUAUUUUUAUGAUGAUUAUAGGACGUGGGUGAGCUCGUUGGUUGUUCUUGAGGUUUUGAAUUGAUUGCUACGGAUCGAGAUAAGUAGAUUCAUGCAUGAUGUGCUUUAUAAUAAAUGCAAUUUAUGUUACAAAAAUUAUGUUUAAAUGGAAAUUUUUACAAAACUGAUUUCUAAAAUAUUUAAAUGAAUUUUGUAAAAUAAAAACACUUUUAAAUGAAUUUAUAUAAAUGAAUUUUAAAAUGAAUUUUUCUUAAGAAAUGAGUUUUCUUAAACAAAAUAUUUUCUUAAAGAAUUUUCUAAAAGAAUUAAAUGAUCAAAGAAAGGUUCUUAAAUGUUUUAGAAAACUUUAAAAGCUAUUUAUGAAAGGAUGUAAGGUGGAUUCAAAAUGUUUUGGCUUAUAGUCCGUAGUAAUGUAUACAAUGGAAAUGUUAUGAUGUUAUGUAAUAUUAUGGUCAGCUUGCUGGUACGAUGAUGGUCUUGUGCACAAGGAUGUUAUGAACAAUGUGGGACAUAGUACCCUAAAUGAGGAACAAUGCGGGGUAUAACACCCUAAAUGAUGAAUGAUGAUGAUUAUGAGGCAUGAGCUACCAAUGUUUACGCUUUAAUGUUUUCAUAAAUGUUUUAAUGUUUUUAUAUGAAUCCACCCCUUAUGUUAAAUGAAGAUGUUGUUAUAAAAUGUUUAAAGGUAUAUGACAAAGGUUUUCAAAUAUUGUGCAUGGAUUUGAUUACCGAGUUGACGGCUCACCCCUCGUCUCCAAUAUUUUACAGAUUGAUUAGAGAUAUGGCUUGGGUUCUUAGACGGAGAAUUUUUCUUAGUGGAUCUUUAGAGUUGUUUUAAAGAUUAAAUUUGGCUAGACUUCCUAUUUUGCAUUAGAGACUUUUCUUUGGAGACCUUAUUUCAUAUGUUUUAUGUAAGGAUUCAGUUGGAGUAUGAAUAAUUAUUGUUUAUCUUGAGAUUUAUUAAUAAGAAUAAAUGAUGUGAGGUUUCAUUCCAAUUUUACCCUUGUGUUUUCAUGAGUAAUUUUUGGGGUGUUACAGUUAGGCUACUCGGACACCGACAACGCAAUGUGCUACUGGGCUAUGAUGAGAUGAAGACGAGUUGCGUGCUUACUACUGCAUGAAUAAUUUGGAAAUUAUGAGCAAGACUGUGAGAAAGUGAUUUAGAGUUUGAUUUGUGAGUUAUGAGCUUGUGGGAUUGUGUGCUUUUGGUUGUAAUUAAGUCUAAAUUAUAUUAAACAUUUUAUAUUAACUAAUAUUUGUAUUAUUUGUAUAAAUAUUUUGAUAUUUGUUAUUUACACCAAUAUUUUAUAUUUUACAAUUUAAAAUUUAUUAUUUAUUGACUAAUAAUUCUAAAAAAAUAAAAAUAAAAUAAAAUAUUAAAAUAGGGAAAUGGGGAGGGGACGGGGAUUCCACCUCAUCCCCAUCCCUUCCCUGAAUAAGUAAUUGGGUAAAAAAUCGUCUUCGUCCCUUCCCCGAAUAAGAAGUUUGGCAUAAAAUCGUCCAUGUACCCUCCCCAAAUAGGAAAAAUCCCCAAGGGCCCCCAUCCCCAUGGGGAUUCCUGCCAUUUCUAAAUUAGAAUAAAUUAUUUACUUGAACUGUAGGAAUCAGAAUAAAAAUAAGCUGGAUUGUCAUUGAUGUGUCUAUUUUGUCUUGGAAUUGAAAUCAAAAUGAGUUACAUUUUAACAACUUACUAAAAAGUGCUUAAUGAGCUAUUGUCAUAAUUAUUAUUUUAUAUUUUAAUUAUGGUAAUUAUUUAUUCAAAAAUUAUAAUAAUUAUUAUUGUUAAUAAUAUAUUCAUAUAUUAAUUAAUUGAAAAUUAUUUAAAUUAAUUAAUUAUUAAUAUAUUAAUUGAUUAAUUAUAAUAAUACAUUAAUUAAUUAUAACUGAGGACAAAAUAAAUAUUUUUUAUUUUGUGAGGGGGCAAAAUGGUCAUUCCAAGGAAUGGGAGACUAAUUCCCGCCUCCCUUGGGAAUUAAUCUUCCAUUUGCCAUUCCCAAAUUGCGGUGGACUCAACGAUUUCAAUUCCGAUUCUUGACUCUAUUUUGUGAAGUAAAUGCUCUCAAUAAUUUCGAUUCCUCAAUCCGAAGAAGUAAACGCACAGUUACUGUUUCUUCUAAAGCUCAAACUUGUCAGGUUUGAGAGACCUGAUAGAUACUUCAGUCAUGCAUCUACUUCAUCAUAAGACAAACUGAAAGUUAGAAAUAAAAGGGACAACUCAAGGAAAAUGCACACAAGUGAGGUUUCAAAAUUAAAAUAGACACUUCAGCUGCAAAUCAGCAUACACAUACAAUGGAGGUCAUACAAAUAUCAUUUCUACAACCGCCCUACUGUAUUCUUGAAUGAAGAUGGUUUAAAGUCAAGUAAUAAGAUAUUUAAACUUAAGACAGAACAAUACAAUUAAAUUUGCUGGAACUUAUGAGUAACUUACUCUCAUCUCUCCUCCUAAUUUAAUUGGACAGGCGUAAAUUUUCCAUGUUAAUAUGGAUGAAGUAAAUUUUCUUUUUGUAAUAUAUCUAUGCAUUAAAAAAAAUUAAUAAUAAUAACUUUUACAAGCAUUUAUGCUUGUAUUAAUACUCUACUUUUUACUACACGAUUGCUUCAGUAUAUGGUGGAUGUUAAGAUAACAAUAAUAAUAGAAUUACAAAUACUUGCAUACUAUUAACUAACUUAACACUAUAAUAUUGUUUACGGUGUAAGCACUCGAGGUGAUGUUAAUAUGCCAAAGAUUUAAAAAUAUUAGUUCUAGCUUUUGAAGAAAAAUAUACUUUUAGUCAGAAGGGAAAAAAAAGCUUUCUAACAAGAUAUCAAAAUGGUUAAUAAGAAGAGCAGUAGUAAUGGGGUAAAAGCUCGUUUAGUCCCUAUAUUUUGAGGUUAGUACUUGUUUAGUCCCUAUAUUUUUAAAAAUGCUUUAAAACAUCUUUGUCGUUAAAUUAUUGACACCCCUGUCUUUACUUUGUAUUCCUUUUAGCUUACUUUUACAAUAUUACCAUUUUUGCAAUAUUGUUUAAUUUUUUGGACAUUAAUAAUAAAUAAAAUUACCAAUUUAACCCCAAAAAUAAAAUAAAGACAAAGAAAAUAUAUAUUAAUCUUUGUCGAAACUAUGUCAAAAAAAUAAAUAUUGUAAAAAAAAUUUAACUACUAAUUUUUUAGACAUUAAUAAAAAAAUUAAUAUAUUAAUUCCUCGUGGAGUAUUCAAAAAAAUUAAUAUAGAUUUUUUUUUGUUUCUAUUUUACUUUUUUGGGUUAAAUUGAUAAUUUGAUUUUUCUUGUUAUUAAUGUGCAAUAAAGAAUAAAUAUUAUUGUACGGGGGUAAUAUUGUAAAAGUAAGUUAAAAAGAACAAAAAAUAACGGUAAGGGUGUCAAUAUUUAACGAUAAGGAUGUUUUAAGGCAUUUUUAAAAAUAUAGAGACUAAAUAGGUAUUAAUCUCAAAAUAUAAGGAUUAAACGAGAUUUUACCCUUAAUAAUGUUACGAGGGGGUUCAAAUGGAGGGGGAUGGGUAUUUCCAAAUUUGUAUCCAUUAAUUUUUUUAAAACUCAUAUCUGUCACUUGUUAUUAUUUUAAAGGAAAUUAUCAGUCAUAUACCUUAAGUUGACAAAACACUUCUACCGUCCACCAUUCCUUUAACUUCCAUUUGCAAGCGUUGACAUCAUAAGGGUAAUUUAGUCUUUUAAGACUGACGAAACUUUGAUAAAAAAAACGGCAUGUCAUCCCAUUUACCGAAUAAAAAAUGACAUGUCAUAUGAUAUAUAUUGAUAAAAAUAACAUGUCAUUCCACUUAUCGGUUAAUUGUUAAUAAUUGCUAAAAAAAACUAUUUUACAACUGAAUCUACUCCUCCAAAAUUUAACUUAAAUUUUUGAAGAUCUACUCCUCCAAGCUCCAACUUGAAAUUUUUAUGGUAUAAUAUGUAUAAUUGUAAAUAAUAUGUUGUUAAUAAUUUUUUAUGGUAUAAUAUGGAUAUUUUUUAUGGAUAAUUGUUAAUACUAUGUACCAUUAAUAAUUCAUUUUUUAAUCAAAAAAUGUAUUGGUAAUAACAAAAUAAAAAAAAUUAUGUAUUGAAAAUUUACGUUAAUUUUUGGGAUAAAUUUAUUUUUUUACCUCAUUUUGAGUUUUAAGGGCAAAAUAGUCAAUUUACCACAAUUCUGUUAACUUUCUAACAGAAGUUAAUAGAAUGGUGGACGGCAGAAGUAUUUUGUCAACUUAGGGUAUACGAGUAAUACACUUGAAAAGUAUUCACACACGUUUGAUACGGGUAUCAUUUAAGGGUAUAUAGCUGAUAAUUUCCCUUAUUUUAAAUAUCAAACUUGUCAACCCUUAGGGGAAACAAGUAUUUAACGGACUUUGUGCGGCUAAUUCUCAUCAUUCGCUACUCUAAAUUUUAUUUUACAGAUUUGUGCAUCAUUUAUAACAUUUAAUUAAAUACACUUAAAUUAUAUAGAUUCAACGGUUCAACCUUCAUAUAUCACAUGAAAAGAAUACUGAAUUUUUAACAUCUCUCAUCAAGAGAUUGUACUGUGCUUACUCAAUUAGAUACUAAGGUGGCGUUUUUUUUUUAACUUAAUGACUUAAAGUGACUUAACUUAAUUAAUUAAGUUAAUUAGAGGUGUUUGUUUUUAUAACUUAAUGAGACUUUGUAGAUAAUUUUGACUUAAUAAAAUAAGCUAAUUUUUUUUGCUUUUUACUUAAUGGAGAAAUUUGAAUUAAGUCAAUUACUUACUAAUGUAAAAAAUAUUCAUGUUUUAUAAUUUAUUUUUCAUGUCUAUCCCAAAACUCACCUAUAGACAUUUACUCCACAUAAAAAUAUCCAUGUUUUUUCUUUCUUAUAUUAUAUACGAUAAAAUUUAAAAUUUAUGGUAUUUUAUAUAUUAAAAUUCUAAAAUAAUUAUGUAUUCACUUCAAUAUAGUUUUACUUAUAAAUGUUAAAAUAUUGUGGUAUUUAAUAUAUUAUUUAUUUGACAUUCAAAUUUGAUAUGGAUACAAAUGUAAAAGUACAUAUUUUCAGUUUUUUCAGUUGAAAAAAACAAACAACUUAAUACUUAUUUUCCGAGAUUCAGAUGAAAAAAUAAACAUAUUAUUUAGAUUCAGACAUUCAAAUCUAUUCAGAAUUCAGACUAAUUCAGGUCUAUUCAGAUUUCAGAUAAAAAAACAAACGACACCUAAGUUUAUACUCCAACUAAUGUGUUAAUAGUAUUUGAAUAAAAAAUGAUAAAACUUAAUAAUUAAUUAUUGCUUAAGUCAAUUAAAUAGUAUCAUAUCAUUUGUUAAAAAAAAAAAAAAAUCUUUGUUGUUUCAAGAUUAUUAAUCCUUUUUCAUUUACUUAUUAUCAUUACUAUCUGCAACAAUCAUAAUGAUUUGCAUCAACAUGUGAUUGUUUUUUUGACUCCAAGAACAGCUUGUAAAUGUAAUUUCUCUUCUUCCCCACUCACCCUUGAAAACCCACUAUUUGUGUACUUCCAAAACGAUUUAUUGCUGACCGCCAAAGACCGAUACUCACUGGACAAAUUCCUAAAAGAAAGAUUCAAAUUCCAAUGUCUUAUACCUAUUUGAUUUGCAGUUCUUGUUAUGCUAAUGACUAGAAUGAGGCAAAGUGUUUUUUAAUUGAGAUGAUGGAUCUAAGGGUGCAGCAUGAUGUUGUGAUUUUCCAUGUUGGUCAUAUAUGAGCUUUGUGAAAAUAGAAAGAUAGAAGAAGCAUGUAGGUUUUUAGAAUCGCAUCAAUGGAUGGGUUUUGCUUGACCGAGGGAACUAUUUGUUUCUGUGGAGAAUAAAGGGUGCAGAAAUGAUGUUGCUAAAUACAACAAGUUGAUAAAUGGGUAAUGCAAGAAUAAGGAAGUAGAGGAAGCGUUAGGCCUUUGUAGCGAAAAGCUUUCUAAAAGAAUUCUCCUAGAAUAUGUUGGGGGGAUGGAGCAGCUGCCCCCAUCGCACCCUAAGCCAACAGACUCAAAAUUGGAUGGGAACUUUUUUCAUAGAUUAUUUCACGAACGCCCGAUUCCAAAUAUGUAACAUAUAACAUCAUGAUUCAUGGGCUUUGUAACAAUGGGCAAAUGGAUACGGAAGCAAGGCGUACGACGCCCAGUUGUGUCAUGUUUACUAAGCUUAUGCGAAAGAAUGAGACAUCAAAAGUUAUUGAACUUCCUCACUCAAUGGAUAAGAGAAAUGUAAUGCGGGAUGCAUCUAUACUUGCAACUGUUGUGGACUUUCUUUUAAAGAAUGAUAUCCGUUUAAACUCGAUUCCAGAAUUCAAAAGCCAAAAUUGAAUAUUGAUUUAGUAGCAUGUUUUUCUACCUGCUGAAAUUCGGAUAUGGAGGGUCCGUUUCAUUAUCCCAAAUGUGAAGGAGUGUCACGUUGUGAGGGCAAUGUAAAAUCCUCGCCAUCUGGUUCGGUUCACCAAAGAAACUUCCCCAUUAAUUUCUUGAAAAAGUUGAGUUAAAACUGUGAAUGAAAGAAUCAUGAUGAUCUGUUUUGGUUUGUGAGAUGUUAGAAAGUGGUCAUUGUUUAUUAAGUGGAAAUAAAAAUGAGGGAAUGAGAUUCAUUAAUUUGUUUACUUAUAAAUAGAGGAGGAGAAUUGAGAAUUAAAUUUGUUGGCCUCACAUCAAUUUAUGAAUAACUCUUGGAUUUCUAAUUUCUAAGGGAGAUUUGGAAUCUACAUCUCAUUUACAAUCUACCCAAUUGUAAUAAUUUUCAUUUUGUCAUUCUUUUAAAUAUUUAAAAAAUAAAUAAAAAUCGCAUGAGUACUGUGCAAAGAUGGAUUGUUCUUGUUAUUGUUGAUGUUAUUAUUACUAGCACCGAAUUACAUAUUAUUAAAUUAAUUUAAAUAUUACAAAUUAAAUUAUUUUUAAAUGAGUGAUAAAACCUGAUCAUUUAAUAACCAUGGCCAUUUAACAGAUUUAAACAUAAAAUUUCGUGUCAAAUUAUGUUUGAGUAUAAGGAUAAUGUAAGAUAAUUGGUACUUUAAUUUACAUUUAUGUGCUAACUGAAUAAAGUUCGCUAUUUAAAUUAAAUUAGAAACGGUGAAAUUUAAAAAUUAACUAUUAUUUAGCCAUUUAAACGCAGAGACACAAUUUGUCACGGUUCCAAAAGCAUAGCAUCAUUGAAAGUACCGUAUCCCACUUGUAUUAAUAUUCGGAAGAAUGGAAGGUUCUAUUUUGGUAAUUCUUUUCUUCUUCUUUUUCAACCCCAAACAAUCAAAAGCUCUCCAAUGGCUUUCGUAUCCACAACUCGUCCAUUUCAUUUUACUUCAAUUUCAAUAUCAGCUCUUAGAUGUAAUUUCUCCUCUUCGUUCCCUCAUACCGGAAAACCCAAAUCUUCCAUUUCGAAAAAUGAGCCCUCAGAUCCGACUACAACAGCUAAACUGAAGGAGUCGCUGCGACUGACAGUCAAAGACCGAGCCUCACUCGAAAAAUUCCUCAAAGAAAGGUGCAAAUCAUCCGGUGAAGGUGAUAUUACUUCCAUUACUCCUAAUGAAGCCUUGUGUAUCUUUGAUUACAUGCUCAAUAUGCGCCCUUCUCCGCCUCCUGUCACUUCCUUCAAUCUUUUGUUUGGUUGUCUUUGCUAAGACUAAACAUUAUGAUACUGACCUUUCACUCUUCAAGAGACUCAAUUCCACUUGGUUGUUUCCGGAUCUUUAUACUUGCAACAUAUUGAUUAAUUGCUUUUGCAAAAUGGGUCGAGUUUCUCAUGGUUUUGUUGUUCUUGGGAGAAUCCUCAGGUCUUGUUUUACUCCAGAUGCUGUGACCUUUACUUCUUUGAUUAAAGGUUUGUGUGCGGAGAGUAGAAUCAUGGAGGCCGCCGCAUUGUUUACGAAACUUAGAGUGUUUGGUUGUAAGCCUAAUGUUUUUACAUACAAUACUUUGAUUAAUGGAUUGUGUCGAACUGGCCAUACAAUUGUUGCUCUAAAUUUAUUUGAAGAGAUGGCCAAUGGAAAUGGGGAAUUUGGUGUUGUUUGUAAGCCAGACGCUGUUACAUACACUACUAUUAUAGAUGGUCUUUGUAAGGAAGGUUUUGUGGACAAGGCCAAGGAACUGUUUCUGCAGAUGAAGGAUGAGAAUAUUAACCCAGAUGUGGUUACCUAUAACUCUUUGAUUCACGGUUUUUGUUACGCUAAUGAUUGGAACGAGGCGAAUUGUUUGCUAAUUGAGAUGAUGGACCAAGGGGUACAGCCUAAUGUUGUGACUUUCAAUGUGAUCAUGGAUGAGCUCUGCAAGAAUGGGAAGAUGGAUGAAGCAAGUAGGUUGUUGGACCUGAUGAUUCAGCGUGGUGUGCGUCCAAAUGCUUUUGUCUAUAGCACAUUAAUUGAUGGUUUUUGCUUGACAGGUGAAAUAGAUCGUGCGAGGGAAUUAUUUGUUUCUAUGGAUAUUAACGGGUGCAUGCAUAAUGUUGUUACUUACAACACGUUAAUAAAUGGGUACUGCAAGACUAAGGAUGUAGAGGAAUCUUUAAAUCUAUAUAGUGAAAUGCUUUCUAAAGGAAUUAGGCCAACAGUUGUUACAUAUAACACCUUGUUUCAUGGCCUUUUUGAAAUACACCAGGUUGAGCAUGCUUUAAAAUUGUUUGAUGAGAUGCAGCAUAGUGAUGUGGCAGCUGAGACCUCUACGUAUAAUACCUUUAUUGACGGGCUCUGCAAGAAUGGUUAUAUUGUAGAGGCAGCUGAACUAUUUCGUACUUUGAGAGUACUCAAGUGUGAACUUGGUAUUGAAGCAUACAGCUGCCUCAUUGAUGGAUUGUGUAAAAUAGGCAAACUGGAAACUGCUUGGGAACUGUUUCAAAGUUUGCCUCGUGUAGGCCUAAUGCCAAAUGUUGUAACAUAUAACAUCAUGAUCCAUGGGUUUUGUAAUGAUGGGCAAAUGGACAAGGCACAUGAUUUGUUUCUUGAUAUGGAAGCAAAAGGUGUAGCACCCAAUUGUGUCACAUUUAACACGCUUAUGCUAGGUUGCAUCCGCAAUAAUGAGACAUCAAAAGUUGUUGAACUCCUUCACAGAAUGGAUGAGAGAAAUGUAAUACCAGAUGCAUCUACACUUUCAAUUGUUGUGGACUUACUUGUAAAGAAUGAAAUUAGCUUAAACUCGAUUCCACAAUUCAAGAGUCAAAGUUAAAGUGAGUUUUAUAUUGAUUUAGUCACAUGUUUCUUCUGCCUGAAAACCCGAUCUGGAGGAUCCCAUUCUUAUUACAACAUGUAAAGGAGCGUUGUCUAAUGUUGGCAUGUUCCUAGGUUCUGUCCAUGGAUUCUGUUUGCAGACAUGGCUAACUUCUUGUCCAACAGAUAAGUUUUAAAGUCUUUCAACUUUAUGUUGUAAAAUAACUUUUUUAUUAUUCAAUUCAUGAGUUUUCCUUCUGUAACACAUCCUUCUCAUUAGCUGGAAGUGCAAAUUUUUUAGGCUUUUCCUGUAUGGCCUCUUUUUCUUCUCUAAAUAAAAUGGCAUUUUGUUUCCCUCCUGUGAGGGUACAACGUUUAUGUUCAAACUUUCUGUUAGUUAAGUUGGUUGUCUUUGAUAUAGGGAACUUCCAGUUGAACUGAUUUGUAAUUCGAGUAUAUGAGAUUACCAACUGUAUUGGGAAUUGAUGCCAAAUUAAUUAUGUCAUCAGGUUUUUCAAUCAGCGUUCAUCAUUUAUUUCUAUUAACAAUUAAUAGCACAGCUUGUCUUCUCAGCUUCAUUGCUUCCUCUAAAAAAUAAUCUUGUAAAGACAAUUUUUUUUUUUUUUUUUUUGGCAUGGUAAAUGCUAGAUAGUUUGUGGUCUGAAUGAUACUA